CUUGAAGUUCGAUAAGAUAAACGAAGAGAAAAUGUUCAAGGUCACUCUAGAGGCCAAGAAAGGGUUUAAGAGUAAUGACUAUGUGUUUGGAGAGAUAACCUGGUCUGAUGGGAAACACCAUGUGAGGAGUCCUGUUGUGGUGAAGAAGAUGGAAGUAGCAGCCUAAGGUUGAAGGACACUGACCAGGCGUCUGGAUUUGUAGGUGGAAGGCCAGCGUGUAGAGAUCUAUAUAUCUCCAUGGUCACCAAAUCGAUCUUCAAAUUCCCGUUCCAUGUCAUGACAAGUAUCGAAUGUCACCAAAUCGUGUCAUUUUUUUUAUGCCACUAAUCUAGUGAUUGAACUAAGAAAAUAAAAAUAAAAAUAAAUGGUUUUGUUUUAGAAUAUUUUGGAAUGGUUUUUGGUUUUUAUCUACUUUCUAUUGAUUUUGUUUAGUUGCUUUAGUAUUUUUGUUUUUCUAUUUAUAUGUUAUUUAUGGCUCUGUUUUUUACCUUUUGUUGUGUGACAACUGAUUAGGUUACUGUGCAUUAAGUUUUUUGAGAGUGCAGGUAAUGCUGUGAAGCCUAGCUUACCAUCUUUCAUUUAUUAACAAAAUCUUAUGAUAAAGACAUUCAAUUGUCAUAUCCCUCAAUUGGAGAACAAAAGGAUAUCCAUACAUUUUGUAGGUGUCAAAAAAUAUGAAAGAUCUAUUUAUGUUAUUUAUUUACCUUAGUUUUUUUUUAGGCUUAAUAAUUCUAUCUAGAAAAAUUAUUUCUAGUAUCUAAUUAAUAACAUAUUGCACUGCGAUUAAGCUAACAAUGAAUGAAUUCCCACAAAGAUUUAUCUACUUAUCGUGGCUUUUUUUUUUCUUCUCUUUAGGCUUCAUAAUUGUACCCAAGAAAAUCACAUAUUGCAUUACAAUUAAGUUAAUGAUGAAUGAAUUCCUACAAAGACCUUUUACCGAAGAAUGUGACCAUCUUAAGAGGUAGUAUAACAUCAUAAUUUUCUAAAAUAUCUUAGGUGUUGUUUUUGAACAAGUAUAUCCAAUUCAAACAUAAUAGUAAUAUAUAUUAUUUGGAAAAUUCUACGUUCAAUUUGUUCUUUGUCACUUAACUUUUUUUAUUCUUAAUUUAAUCAUUUCACAUUAAAUUAAUUUAGGAUUGAGUUUAAUGUUUUAUUUCAGUUGGGCUCUAGCGAUAUUAAUAAUAAGUUUUGAUGUUAAGUUGAUGAUUAAUUUGGUAAAAUAAAAUUUAAAUUUAUUGAUUCAAAUCAAUUAAAAUGUCAACGACUUAAUUUUAAACUGUAAAUACUCAGUCUUUUUUUCUUUAAAAAAUAAUAUUUUUAUUUCAACUUUCUAACUCAAUUUUUAAUUGAAACUAACAUAUAUAACGCAUGAAUACAUCAAACUACAGCAACAAAAGAGCAGUCUUUUGUUGUAGAGUAUGAACAUAAAAUUAAACAGUCUUCUCUAAUUUAGAGCAUAAAAUAAAAUCGAUGUGCUAAUAGCUAACCAUAAACAGACAUAUUGAGGAAUUAAACUGCUGGCAUGGUCAUACCCUCCUGUUGAUAUAAUUGGGUCAAAUGGAAUAUUUAUUUUAAGCAAAAGCAAGAAAAAAGUAGUCUAAAAUAUGAUAAAGUAGUAGUAGUUGUGUUAAGCAAAAAGGAAGAAAUGUUGUCUUAUCAUCCCACGUUUUUGCCUGCAUGGACCGACGGAUCGCCUGCGAGAAGAAUGCUUUUUUUUUUUUUAAAGCAUUCUUCUCAUAGGCGAUCCGUCGAUCUAUGCUUGAACAUGUAAGAAAAGUAAACCUAAUGUAUUCUCGGAUCUUUUAUUAUUAUUAUUAUAAAGAAUAAGUUUGAACUCCAUCUUUUUCUAAAAGAAAGGAGAUACGAAUACUAUUACAAAGAAAAAAAAUGAUUGGGAUUUUGAAAUUACUGUAUACCUAGACAUAAUGUAUUGUAAACGGAACAAUAUAAUUAUGUUUUUGCCUUUAUAUAUAGAAAAAAAAAAAACAUUAGACUAGCUAUUGGGAGUAAUACUGAAUUUUUUCAUGGACCAUGUGUUCAUUAUUAUAUUUAUUAGGGACAAUGCAGUCUGUUUACAUUUUUAUAGAACAAUGUAAUGACUAGAAUAACCUUAAAAUCAAAAUAAUUUUAUCUGAAUUUAGAGAUUGACUUGUUUUUUCAUUUUUAUAUGUAUAAUGAGUCUACAUACUUAACCUUGGAUGCAAAUUUUAUUAAACUUGGGAUCGAGGGCUUCUUUGUAUUUUCAUCAUUAUUUUUUAGUUAUAAUAUGGUCAAGUUUGGGGUAACUUGGUAUUUUAGUAAGUGUAAGAAAUAUUUUUUUUAAAAAAAAUGAUUGACGUGUACAACACACACAUUAACGUGUUAGGCGGCAUAUGCGGAUUUAUAUGGUGUUAGAAAAUGGCCAUCCGUGACGGUUAACAAUCCUCUUGGCAUCCCUUUUCUGAUGAAGUGGCGGCGUGUGCAGCGGUGUGGCUCCUACCACUUUUUUUUUUCUUCUCACUUCUCCUUGAAAAACAAGUUACCCAAUCAAAAAUCUAUAUUUUCCUUUUAAUUUUUUUUUUUAAGUUUAUGAUUUAGUUUCCUUUUGAUUAUCUUAUUUUCAUUUUGAUUUUUUUUGAAAACUUUAAAUUUUUUAUUUAUUUUGCCUUUAAUUUAAAUGUUAUUUUUAUUUCAUGUUUGAUUCUCUUUCUUUUGAUUUCUUAUUUAUGUAUUGAUUUUAUUUUUUUUGUAAAAUGUAAGAUUUUUUUCAAAUUCAGCCUAAAAUCAAACAAUGUUAUUUUUAUGCUUUGUCUGUUUUUGUUUAACAUUUGAUCUUUAUUAUUUUAUAUUGCUAUUUUAUUUUAUGGAACCUUUUGUCAAAUUAUUUUUUUUUCUUUCAAUUUCAUCCCUCAAUCUUGGGUUGGUUAGUUAGAAAUUGAGGGUCAUGGUUUUUUUCAAUUGAGUUACACCAGUUUCAUGACUCUGGUAAAAAAUUUAAAAGUUUGGGUCAACUUGGGUGGUGUCGACUUUUUUCCCCCUCUUUUUACACUAAUUUCCUUUUAGUUUUACUCCUUUAAUACUUUAGAUUUGUGAAGUUAUUCGUGUUUUCUUCAAACUCAUUUUUAAAAUCUAACUAGAUUUAUUUCACUCCAUUAUCAUGGUCUCUUGACCUUGAUAGUAAGUUUUUCUAUUUACCUAGGGAUCGCUCUACGUUUUUCUUUUGGAGUUAUCUUUUUAAAAUUGAUUAUUUUUUUCUAGUUUAGUUGUUCAUUAUUUUUCUUUGCAUUUAGGCUCCGUUUGUUUGCAGGAAAGUGAAUUCCUUUUUGAAUUGGAAAGUGAAUUCCGGGAAAGUAUUUUCCGAUGUUUGGUAGUGUUAUGGAAAAUGAACUGGAAAACACUUUCCAGUGUUUGGUUAUGUCAUGGAAAAUGAGCUGGAAAAUAACUUAUUAUAUUUUAUUUUUUUCAAGUUUAUUAAAUAAUGAGGAACAAAUUUACAAUUAAAAAGUUGAAUGAUAAUGAAAUUGAAAAAAAAUAUAAUUUCAUAAAUUAUCUCAAAUAAAACAAAUAAUAAUCAAAUAAUAGGGUCAAAUCUAAAAUUAAAAAAAAAAUGAAAAAUGAAGAAUUAAAUAAUAAUAAUCAACAUUUCAUAAAUUAUUUCAAAUAAAAUAAGUAACAAUCAAAAGAAUGAGGAUCAAAUUUGAUAAAUAAAAAAUUUCAAUAAAAAAUGAUAAGAAAAAAGCAAAUAGCAAUUAUAAAAAUAAGGACAAAGUUAAUAUAAAAUAAAAUUUUAAGAGAUGAAAUUGAAAAAUAAAUAUUCAAAACAAAAUAUAUAUAGUAAUCAAAAGUUUGAGGAUCAAAUUUGAUAUAAUCAGCAAAUAAUGGCAUUUCUAAAUUUUUCACAACUUCCGGAAAGUGUUUUCCCCUCAAAUUUUUCAGGAAAACACUUUCCUGAAAACCAAGCCAAAUUUUCCUUUUACUGGAAAGUGUUUUCCAUUGACCAACUUUCCUACUGGCAAAUAAACACAAGAAAGUUUGGAAAGUGCUUUCCCGGAAACCACUUUCCGGAAAACAAACACAGAUAAAAGGAAAACACUUUCCUGAAAACCAAGUCAAUUUUUUUUUUGACUAAAAUUGACUGGAAAGUGUUUUCCGUUGACUAGAAAGUGUUUUCCGCUGACCGGAAAUUGUUUUCCGUUGACCAACUUUUCUAAUGACAAACAAACACAAGAAAGUUUGGAAAAUGGUUUCCCGGAAACUACUUUCCGAGAAACAAACAAGUCCUUAGCUUCAUAAAUUUGGGAAAAUGAUGAUUUUUUAAAAUAAAAAAAAUACUUUUAUACAUAUAUAUGCAUUUAUAUUAUUUCUUAAAAAAGUGUUAAAAUUAGAACGACAAUUUAUAAUACUUCAAACAUGUUAUUGUUUCAUAGCUCAUCGAACUAGAUAUAUGUUAUAAUAUCUUAAUUACCAGCAUAGAUCAAUCUUAAUUAUAAUCCACCAUAAGUACAAUAACAUGAACAGGCCAUGAAUUAUGACACGGUGGUCUGCAACUGUAUCCUUCUGCUCUUUUGCUCUUCUUUUUCUCGACAAGUAAUUGUUGAGUGGGUCUUUGUAGCCCAGAAACCAACACUUUCUUUUGGGUGUGUGUAUAUAUAUAUUUUAUACUAUACCGCAAGUCUUGGAGACAAUCUUCCACUUUAUUAGCCAUAUAUUUGUGGGUUCCAUAUAAAUUCAACAAGAUCAAUGGCAAUUAGGAUUAUGUUUUGUUAAUAGAUUAAAUAGAUAAUUUGAUUCACGUCAUUUGUCUCUCAAUAUUAGAAUUAAUUACUCGGUUGAUUCUGAAAUUUAAUGAUAACUUUACGGAGUUAAUCUAAUGGUUAAGAAAUCAUGCUUUUAUCUUUAUUUUUUCAGCUAAACAUUUGGAAUUAACAUUCUAAAAAAUCCAUUAAAUUUCUUUAAAUAUAUCGAAUCGAUGUAUUUUUUUUUAAAGAAAAACUUAGUUUUAAUACUGGACACGCUAAAAAAAUAGGGUUUAAAUACUAUGGUGCACAACUUUGAUAAAUGUCGUUAUGAAAAAGCUUAUGCUGUCCACCUUUUCGACAAGCAUGAUACUCCUUUAAUCUUCUUUUCUAAGUAAAACAGGACACCACAGUUCCAUUUAUUUUUCCUUUUUGCUCCAAAAGACAGCUUACAAAGCCCUCCUCUCAUCAAAAGAGGAAGUAAAGUAAGAAGAAAAGGGAGAAAACAACAAUAAUCCCGAUGAUAAAGGGCCUAGCUAGCUACAGUACUGUUCCGUUUUAGGUUCCAGUCUUCUAUCAGUUGUGAGAAAAAGAAAAUGAUUUGGUUAAUGUAUUGCGUACAGCAGAAAAGAGAGGAGAAAACAUCAACAAUAAAAAAAAAAAAAGCAAAACAUUCAAGAACAGUAAUGCGGUGUUAUCAUUGCACUAACUCGUAAUGUAAAUUAUAAUUAGACAGUGAAUCCAGGAUUAAAGAGAACAUGCGUUGGAUCUAUGACGAGGAAAGAACAGAAAAUACCAAUGAAGGCCUUCGUCUAAAUAAAAUGGACAAUACACUGCAUGAAUCCACGGUGUUUUCACUCACAAAGCACAAUAAAUAACUUAGCUGAUUUAUUUAUUUAUUUAUUUUUAUUUUUUUUUUGUAACUGGGUGAUGUUUACGGUAAAAUAAACUGGAUUUCUUGUUUUUCCUUUGUUUUCACCUCUUUGCUGAGGGGAUGGAACUGUUGAAAGCUAAGCUAAUUACUUGUGAUUAAAGUCUUAGAAGAAGAUUACGUAGACCGAAGGAAGAAGGAUGAAAAAAUUGAAGAAAUUCUGUUAAAACAGUUAAAGAGUUAGUUAUAAUCGUUAUGGCAGUUAUAUCAGUUUUUACUGUUACAAAAACUGUUACAAAUCAUUCUUACAUGUGUAAGAAUCGUGACCCUCCAUUAAUGGAUGGAUGAGAUGAUCUUGAUUCCUAAAAUACCGGAAUCAGUUACAUACAAUGUAUAUAAAUGUAGAGUUUGCUGCAUUGAAAAAUAUAUAAAAAAUACACAAGAAUUUCUUCAUAAUCUUCUCUGCACAUUUAAACAUAUUCUUCUUUUUAAAACCUUCAAAAAAUAAACAUGGUAUCAGAGCUUACAAACUGAUUCCAAAGGGGCGUAAACUGUGACAAACAGAUUGAUUAAACUAUUACUUACUCAAAAAAUGGUAGGAUCAAGCUCUGUUGGAGGAGAUUUAAGAACUUCAUAGUUCAAUGGCACAAAUUAUGAUUUUUGGGCUGUAAAAAUGGAGACUAUCCUCAUAGCAUUCGAUCUAUGGGAAGUAAUAGAAGUUGGAAUCAAUUCUCAUCCAUCAUCUAAGGUUGCAACUGGAUCAUGCGAUGAAGAGAGUGAAGUUGAGCAAACUACAUUGCAUGCAUCCACGACAUCCAGAGAAGAAAAAAUCAAGAAUGCAAAGGCAUUAAGCCUUAUACAAGGAGCAUUAACAGAUGACCUCUUCCCACGAAUAAGAAAUGAAAAGACUGCAAAAGGAGCUUGGGACAUUUUGAGUAGAGAAUUCAGAGGAGAUAAAAAGGUUAGAGCUAUAAAACUUCAAGCAGUGAGAGCUGACUUUGAAUACCUGAGAAUGGCAGAAAGUGAGAGCUUAGAUGGAUAUCUAGCUAAAUUCUUUGCAACUGUGAAUAACCUGAAAUCAUUAGGAGAAGAUGUAUCAGAAAAUAGAAUUGUGCAGAAAUUGCUAAUGAGUCUAAGCAGAAGGUAUAAGUCCAUUAUGUCAAUCAUUGAGGAGACACGAGAUCUUGAUGUUCUGAGAGCAAAAGAAGUCAUUGCUUUUGUGAAAGUUUAUGAUAAGAGGGAAGAUCUACAUGAUGAAAGGGAUAAGCUAACAGGAAUAGAGAAAGCCUUUAGCAGUUUAAAGAUUGAAAACAAUCAAGCCUACAGCUCACACAAGUGUUUCCAAGGCAGACAUCCUCAAAGAUGGCAAUCACAAGACAGGAGAGGACCAAAUCCAUUUCCAAACAGAAAUGGAACCAACUAUAAUAAUGCAAGCUAAAACAACACUGCUUGGGGAAGUAGUCAAGCGAGUGUAAAGCCACAAUGCCAAGUCUGCCAGAAGCAACAUUUUGGUUUAUGUAGACACAAAGGAAAACCAAGAUGUGGAAGAUGCAACCGGUUUGGCCAUAUUGCAAAAGAUUGCGAGAGUCGCAGUCACAAACAACUAGCAAAUUAUGCCAAAGAAGAGAGAGUUACCACAGGAACUGUCGCACGUGUGCGACGUUGCGGCGAUCACCCACCACCCCAUGUAUGAAGGUGUGGUAUGUAUCUAUCUAUUGUGAAAAAUAUGGUGAGACAAGGAAUUCUUUGUCUCUUAGCGGUGAAAAAUGGACCGGAAGUCGCCACCUAGUAUUCUAGUUGUUAGGAACCCUAACUGGUCUUUAGAGAUUAGGUACGGAGACUAGUUGCGUAAAGGGAAGGUGUUAACACCCCAACUACUCCCUACCUACGGUAGGUUGCAUUGUUUUGUCUAAUAAAAUCUAAGUCAUGUUGUGGUUUCUUAUUGUUCAGAAUAUGCAUUACGUGUAAUGUCAUACCCCAGGUUCUAUUGUCCGAAAAAAAGAAUUAAAUAUCCGGAAUACACAAUACGUGUAAUAUCAUGCCCCGGAUACUAAGAGAUAAACAAAAUAAAAUUUUUGUUUGUUUUUGAAAUUUUGGCCAAUGUUCUCUUGACUUUAAUAAACUGGUUAUUAAAGCCAAAAUACAUGCAAACAUUGAUUUUUGGUGUAUAUAAAAAACACAAUAUGAUUUUUUAGCUUGGAGACACUUGGCCGUAUGCACAAAAACAUUUUUUUUCUUUUUUUUAAUUUUUUUUUGUAUUUUUGGAAAUUUUGAUGAAAACCGGGUAUUUUAAUAUCGGAUUUUGUAUUUUUAGCAACAUAAAAACACUGCUUGAUGUUAAUCAAAAUGACAUAAAAAAUACACGGAAACUUGUAAAAUUACAAACAAAUAUUUUUUUGAAUUUUUUUUAACAAAAAAAAGGGGCCAAAUUUGGCCCAACCAUCCUGGGCUGGGCCUGACCCGGCCCAUAUAUUGUGGGCUGGACUCAACCUAGCCGUAUGGGCUGGGCUGAUGUUCCAGCCUGUAACCAAUGAAAGGGGUUGGUUACUGUACGCAGCACAGUAACCAGUAAAAAAUAUAAUUAGCUAGUUAUUGUGCUAAAUCUUCAUUUGCUGCAGAACGUAAACGUUUUGCAUGCAAAUGAAGCUGAAGCGAAAAACAGACAGGGGAGGGGAGAAAAUUACCUGGAGCGAUGGCGACGCUGGCGACGCUGGCGACAACGGAUGUGGCAGGGGUGGUGGUGUAGGCGGCGACUAUUCUCUUUCCUUGUCUCCUGUUUCCUCUGUUUCUCUUCUCAGCCACCCUCUCCUCUACCUUUUUUUCAUUGUCUGCUCUUCUUCUCCUCUUUCCCUUUGUGGCUGUCAGUGGCGGUUGGAGAUGGCAGUGUCAGCGGUGGUCAAGUGGUGUGCUAUGGCGGUGGAGAGGAAGCAUGAUGGCAGCUGCGGUUGUUCUUCUCCGGUAUAAAUAUAUUCUUGUCACUUCCCUUUCUCUUCUCUGCCUCCUUUGCCGGUUUCCCUUUCCCUCCUCUGCCUUCCCCAAAUAUUCCCCUCCCUUUUUCUGUAAUACUUCCCUCAGGUGGUUCCAGCUUUCCCUUCUCUCCCAGUCUUUCUCUUUUUCGGUCUCUUUAAUAAACUCUCAGUUCUUUCUCUUGGUUUCCCUUAAAAAUCAUUCCCAGCUUCCUCCCUUUUUCUCCUCUCUUUUCUCCCUUCUUUCGGCACUCCCUCCUCUGGUAUUUAUAGGCAGAGGAGGGGAGGGCCACCUUACCCUUGUCAUGGUGCAGGGUAAGGUGAGCCGGGGAGUUGUUCGCAGGGUAUGGUGCUUUUAGUGCGAGGGCUUGGUGGUGUUAGUGAAGGGACAAGUCGGGUCGUCGUUGGGUUUUCGGGUUUUGGGACAGAGAGAGAGGGGGGAAUAGAAAACAGGGGAAAAAUGCUUCUUCUUCCCUUGCUCUUUGCGUGUGCAGGGGAAGAAGAAAGCUUAUGGUGCCGUUCACAACGACACUGUUUGCCCUUUUUUUUUUUUGAAAAUGCAUGAAACGGCGCCGUUUUGACCAAAACGCGUUGUUUCAUUUAAAUGAAAACAGGCGCCAGAAUGCAUUCAAUUUCAGAUCAGCCCCUCAAUUUGCGCGCUUUUUCAUUGUAGUCCUUGGUUUUGGAUUUCUUCGAUUAAGUCCUUAAUUGGCCACCAGACUUCAAUAUGCAUGCAAUUAAGCCCCUGAUUUGACCCAAUCAACUCUAAAAAAUAUAAUUUGACGUCAGAACUUCAAUUUCUUCCAAUUAAAACCCCAAAUUGACUUUAAAAUCAAAUUUUCUUGCAAUCAAACCCUCCAAUAAUUCAAUUAAACUUUCAAUAAAAUUUAAUUGAGUCCAUAAACAUCUGAUUUUGUACUUUUCUUCCUCUAAUAAAAUUUCCUUAAUAAAAAAGGCUCUCACUGGUCAAUGAUAUACUGUCAAAUUUCAAUUCAUUGAUAUAUUUUUGAUAUAUUUUAUUAUUAUUAUUAUUAAUUAAUUUUUUUAAAAUAAUUUUUUUUCUUGUUUCUUAUACGGGGACCAAAAAAAGGGUUGCAACAGGAACCAUGUUCUAUGCUUGCCAUUCUACAAGUCUGCAAGACAAAAAGGUAUGGUUUGUGGAUAAUGCUUACAACAACCACAUGACCUCUCAAGAAUCCGAACUAAUCAACAUCGAUAGAAUAGUAACCUGCAAAGUAAAGAUGGGCUCAGGAGACCUUGUGCAAGCAACUGGCAAAGGCACAUUGGUUGUAGAAACUCAACAUGGGAAAAGAUACAUAAAAGAGGUACUACUUGUUCCUGGAUUGGAUGAAAACCUAUUGAGUGUAGGGCAUGUGAUGGAGCAUGGUUAUUACAUUCUGUUUGGAGAUAACAAAGCAGUAAUAUUUGAAGAUGAAAGCCUCAACAAUGUUAUAGCAAUAGUGAUCAUGAGAGGAAAUCGAUGCUUCCCACUUUCACUUGAAUCCAUCACACCUGCAGCAAGGAAAGCUUCAGUGACUGAGGAUUCCUGGAUAUGGCAUAGAAGACUGGGACACUUGAAUUUUGCCAGCAUGAAGAAGAUGCAGCAGAAGGAGAUGGUAUGCGGGCUUCCUGUUCUGACAGAAGUAGAAGAUGUUUGUGCAGGCUGUGCAUCAGGCAAACAUCACAGGGAGAAAUUCGACAAAGAGCAAGCGUGGAGAGCAAGUGAUCCACUGGAAUUAAUCCACACUAAUUUGUGUGGACCAAUGCAGAAUGAAUCCAUAGGAGGAAAUAGAUACUUUAUCACAUUCAUUGACGAUUACUCAAGAAUGUGUUGGGUAUAUUUCCUCAGAAACAAAUCUGAUGCACUCAAUGUGUUCAAGAAAUUUAAGGCAUUUAUUGAGUUGCAAAGUGGAUAUAAAUUAAAGAAGCUGAUAAGUGACAGAGGUAAUGAAUAUACUUCAAAAGAGUUUAAAGAAUUCUGUGUAAAACAAGGAACGGAGAGGCAACUGACAGUUUGAUACUCUCCUUAAUAGAAUGGAGUUGCAGAGAGGAGAAAUAGAACAAUUUGUGAAAUGGCAAGAUCCAUGCUAAUAGAGAAAGAAAUGUCAAUAAUCUUCUGGGCAGAAGCUGUGAAUACAACUGUGUAUAUUCAGAAAAGAUGUUACACAACAUCUGUUACUGAAAAGACUCCUUUUGAAGCCUUUACGGGAAGGAAGCCAGGAAUCAAGCAUCUAAAGGUGUUCGGUUGCUUGUGCUACACACAUAUCCCAUCAUCACUAAGGCAGAAAUGGGAUAGCAAAGCUGGAAAGAGAGUGUUUGUUGGGUAUGGUAGCUGUGAGAAAGGGUAUAGAAUAUAUGACCUGAAAACUGAGAAGAUUGUUCUUUCAAGAAGUGUGAUUUUCAGUGAAGAUAGAGCAUGGAAUUGGGAAAGAAAUUUGAUGAACCAAAGCCACUUGUCUUUCAAUCAUGAAGGGGGUGAAGUUGAAGGUGAAAAUUCUGAGGAACACUCUGCUGCAGUCCAACCCGAUAAUGUUGAACAUUGCAAUCAAAAUUCUACAGUUGGAGAGUUAGUUGAGAAGAUUGACAGUGAUAACAGUCAACAAUCUUCACCGAGCUCUACUCUAGUAAAAUUAAAAACCUUGGAAGACAUACAUGCAAGGUGUCACAUGUGCAUCAUAGAACCUGAGAACUAUCAAGAAGCUUUUGGAAAUAAAGCCUGGCAGAAAGCUAUGAAGGAAGAAUUGGAAGUGAUAGAGCAGAACAAUACUUGGGAAUUGGUGGAGAGACCAAGUGAUAAAACUGUGAUAGGAGUGAAAUGGGUGUACAAAACUAAGCUUCAUCUUGAUGGAACAGUUCAAAAACAUAAGGCUCGCCUUGUAGCAAAAGGAUAUGCACAAAAAUCCAGAAUUGACUAAAAUGAAACAUUUGCACCAGUAGCAAGGUUAGACAUAAUCCGGACUCUCAUUGCACUUACAACACAAAAGGGGUGGAAAUUGUUUCAAUUGGAUGUUAAAUCAGCAUUCCUAAAUGGUGUUCUUAAAGAAGAAGUAUAUGUUGAGCAGCCUGAAGGGUUUGAAGUAAAGAAUGCAAGACACAAAGUUUACAAACUAAAGAAGGCCUUGUAUGGAUUAAAGCAGGUACCGAGGGCCUCGUAUAGUGAAAUUGAUGCAUACCUCUCUAUGUGCAAAUUCAAAAGGAGCACAAGUGAAGCUACUUUGUAUACAAGAUCAGACAUGGAAGGUAAUUUGAUCAUUGUCUCAAUCUAUGUUGAUGACAUUGUGUACACUGGCAGCAAUGAGAGGAUGCUCAGUGAAUUUAAAAAGGAAAUGAUGCAAAGGUAUGAGAUGUCUGAUCUUGGAAUCCUUUAUCAUUUUAUUGGCAUGAGAAUACUACAAACCAAUCAAGGGGUGUUUAUUCAUCAAGGGAAAUAUGCCAAAUCCCUGCUUAGUAAGUUUGGACUUGAUGAUUGCAAACCAGUCUCCAUUCCCUUGGCCACUGGUGAGAAGCUGAAGAAGGUGGAUGGGAGUGAGUUGGCUGAUGAAGAACUUUAUAGAAAAAUAACAGGAAGUUUACUAUAUUUGACAGCUACAAGACCUGAUCUAAUGUAUGUUGCAAGUUUAUUAUCACGGUUCAUGGCUGGACUUACCAAGAUUCACAUGGGAGCUGCAAAAAGAGUUCUAAGAUAUGUGCAAGGAACUCUCAGCUAUGUGAUUGAAUAUGUAAGGGAUCAAUCAGCAACUCUCAUUGGAUUUUAUGAUGCAGAUUGGGCAAGAAGUAAAGAUGAUAGCAAGAGCACUUCGGGCUAUGCAUUUAGCUUUGGAAGUGGAGCAUUCUCCUGGUCUUAUAUGAAACAAAACACAAUAGCAUUAUCAACUUUAGAAGCUGAGUAUGUCUCAGCAUCUGAAGCAACUACUCAGGCCAUUUGGUUACGGUUUGUUCUUGAUGAUUUUGGUAAAAUGCAAGCUAAGGCAACACCCUUGUUCUGUGAUAAUAUGUCAACAAUUUCAAUGGCCAAAAAUCUAGUUUUUCAUCAAAGAACAAGACACAUAAACAUGAAGUAUCAUUUCAUAAGGGAGGCUUUGCAAGAAGGAGUAAUUAAUGUGAAGUUCUGCAGAAGUGAAGAACAACUUGCAGACAUCUUCACAAAAGCACUACCCAGAGACAGAUUCAAGAAACUAAGACUAAAUCUUGGAGUUAAAUCAGUAAACAGCUUAGGAGAUGUUGCUGAAAGCUAAGCUGAUUACUUGUGAUUGAAGUCUUAGAAGAAGACUACGUAGACUGAAGGAAGAAGGAUGAAGAAAUUGAAAAAAUUCUGUUAAAACAGUUAAAGAGUCAGUUAAAAUUGUUAUGACAGUUAUAUCAGUUUUUACUGUUACAAAAACUGUUACAAAUCAUUCUUACAUGUGUAAGAAUCGUGACCCUCCAUUAGUGGAUAGAUGAGAUGAUCUUGAUUCCUAAAAUACCGGAAUCAGUUACAUAUAAUAUAUAUAUAAAAGCAGAGUUUGCUGCAUUGAAAAAUAUAUAGAAAAUACACAAGAAUUUCUUCAUCUUCUCUGCACAUUUAAGCAUAUUCUUCUUCUCAAAACCUUUAAAAAAAUAAACAGGAACUGUGGUGCUGCUCAAGUCAUUGUCAAACAAGUGAGACAAGCAUUAAAGAACUCUAAAACGCGUGGGAAAAUCACUGUAGCAGCUGUGAUUUUUUUUUUUUUUUUUUAUAGAAGGUAGUUUUUUUUUUUUUACAUGUUUUUUUUUUUUUUUUUCCUGUAGCAGUUUUUUAACUAUAGCUUAUUAUUAUUUUUUUUUUUUUGCUUUUGUUUCUUCUUUUUUUUGUUACAUGUUUUUUUUUUUUUUACCUAAAAUUGACUUCUUUGUCUUUGUUUUUUUUCUUUUUUUUAAUUUUUUUUUCAAAAUUAUCUUUACUAAUUUUUUUAAAUAUUAAGCUGGUUAAAAAUUUAACUAUAUAGUUUUUUUCUUUAAAACAUUGUGGAUUGCUAUAAUAUUCUCAUACAUUGGUUUUUUUUCUUUUUAUGAUUUCUUUAGAAGAGCUCGAGACAUAUAUGAAAUAUCAACAUCUAAUCUCUGGUAUUGGAUAAAGCUUUCAGUAUGUGGAGAACAAUCAAACGAGAAUUGACAGGGAAUUGAGUGAUCAUGUUAAAGUUACGGAGCAUGCGAAGAAGAGGCCCACUGAGGCCAGAAAGCGCAGCUGGAGAUAAAAAUGGUCAGGAAAGUAAAGGAGGGAAGAAAAAGCUCUCUCUGGUUCUUCCUCGAACAGUAAGUAGUCUUCUUUUUUUUUUUUACCAAAAUUCCUCUCCUCUGGACUGAUCAUCCACCUCUCAUCGGUUCCAUGCUGUUUUUUUUUUUUUUUUUUUCAUAAUUAUAUGUCCACUGUACUAAAUCACCUCGUUUGAUCCCACAGCUUCACCCCUCGACUUGAUUUCGAAUAUGGUGAAGAUGAGUCAAGGGAUCCUCCUCUAGCAUUGGAUGCUUUGCGAUGUUGAUUUCGAUGGCUUACACAUGCUGUCUGCUCAUAAUUUCUUAUAUUCGUUUCAACAAUAAGAUUACGCCGAGUAAUCUCCAUCCCUCGAAAUCAUAGUAUUGCCCGAGUCAAAAAGCAUGAUUGAUUACCGAGCAAUACUAUCUCGACCACUGCAAAACACACUCUUGAAUUCCUGAAAAGCAGCAUGUCCUCGUGUAGGGCAUUACUACAUGCAUGAAAGUAUUAAGAAACCGGGAUCUUUGAGUAGAUCUUUCAAGUGGGAUAGGACCCACUUAAAAAAAUAGCAAGGCAAAAUUGAGGCCCAUGUGUAAGCAUACAAGGACAUCCAUUAAAGCCCAUGAGUAGAUCUUUCACUAAUUUUUAUUUAUCAAUUUUCCCAUAAAUUAUCUUGAUUUUCCAGUUCCCGUUAAAAUUAUUUAAUGAAAAACGUUAAGUACUUGUAAAAUGAUGCUAUUUUUUUAAUAGAAAAAAAGUGCAAUUUAGAAUAUAUUUUUUAAUAAAAACAUAAUUGAAAAGCCUUAAAGAUGAAUGCAAGUCGUUAACAAAACAAGUAGUUUUUAAAGUUUAAGAGUAAAAUCAGUAUGCAAAAUUAUGUAAUGACAAAAUUAAGACUAUUGAGAGUGUUUCUGAGACUUCGGCUUUUCUUCUUUGAAGCUUCGACGUAAGUGCUUUGGAGGGUGAGAGAAAUGGAGGAGAGAAGGGUUGACUAGCUGUAAACCAAUUAUUGACCCAGAGGGGUUCCUUUUGAGGUCACCAAAUUUCCACGAAAGAGAUGAAAUCACCUAUAAGCCCAAGCUCAAAGGUUACAGAAUGUAAAAAAAGGCAAGCUAAUCGUUGUUCUCUUAUUGAGCAAAAAGCAAAGCAAACAUGGGCAGGAGGACAGCUUCUUGCUCUCUGUUUCUGUUUUUCACUCUUUUCACAACCUUGCAGAGUCCAAUUCUGGCUGCAAAAAAGGCAAGCUAGCAUGCAUUAAUGUUGUCUGAUCGUUUAGUCUUUCAAGUUACAUUUGCAAUCUCUCUUAUGUUAUAAUUCUGCUACUGACAGUGAUACCCGUGUCUGUGUACGUGCAGUCUUAUGUGGUUUACCUUGGGAGACAUUCUUAUGCUUCUGAACCUUCCACCACUGACCUGGAUAGGGUAGCCGAUGCCCAUCAUGAACUUUUGGGUUCUUGUAUGAAGAGGUGGUGAUGCAGUCCUGAAUAUUUCUGCUGUGUGAUCAGUGCUGUAUUUGGUUGUUCUAAUACUGAUGAUUAAGUUUGAACUCGUUAUGACAGCAAGGAGAAGGCGAAACAAGCCAUCUUUUACUCCUACACUCGCUAUAUCAACGGUUUUGCAGCAGUACUUGAAGAUGAAGAAGCAGCUGAGAUUUCAAGUAUAUAUAAUACUAUUAAAAUUGUUCAGCUUGUAUAUCGUGCAAUCCUUGGUACUAUUACAAUUAUGGUCUUGUUAAUACGUUUUCAGAGCAUCCAGAAGUUGUAUCAGUUUCUCGAAACCACAUAAGUCAAUUACACACAACAAAUUCUUGGGGCUUUCUUGGACUGGAAAGAAAUGGAGAAAUUCCAGCUGAUUCUAUGUGGCUAAAGGCAAGAUUUGGCGAAGACGUAAUUAUCGGGACCCUUGAUACUGGUAAUUAUAAUUUUACAUGUCUGUGUACAUGCGUAGAACUGGUCAAGUCUCCUUCAUAUCAUUUCAUCUUCUUAAUUUAAAUGUUUCUUGCAUUCAAUUAUUUUGGACCAGGUACAGCUACAUUGCAUCUGAAAGAAAAAUCUCCAAUGAUGGUAAAUUUUUGAUCUAUUUUUCUUGACUGUGCAUGACGCUAGGUGUUUGGCCGGAAUCCGAAAGCUUCAAUGAUGAAGGGAUGGGGCCUGUUCCAUCUAAAUGGAAGGGAUACUGUGAUCCAAAUGAUGGGAUUAAAUGCAACAGGUACUUUAAUUUCUUUCUCAAGGCCAGAGCACUUUUCUUGACCCGAACUACUCAUUUUGCCUCUGAUAAUGAACCGCAGACAAAUUCUUCUGUUUCCUAUAGUAAGAUCAGUAACAUAAAAGAUAUGUUGUUAUUAGCAGGAAACUUAUAGGAGCAAGGUACUUUAGCAAAGGCUACGAAGCAGAAACACAUGAUUCUUCAAACCACACCGCGCGAGAUUAUGAUGGCCAUGGAACCCACACUCUAUCCACUGCUGGAGGUCGUUUUGUUUCGGGGGCAACCUUCCUUGGUUCAGCUUAUGGAACAGCUAAGGGAGGUUCGCCCAACUCGCGAGUCGCUUCAUACAAGGUCUGCUGGCACGGCUGUAGCGAUGCUGAUGUGUUGGCUGGCUAUGAAGCUGCUAUUCAUGAUGGGGUCGAUAUCCUCUCCGUGUCACUUGGAUCCGAUCCGAGAGAAUACUUUACUCAUGGGAAUGCAAUUGGAGCAUUUCUUGCAAUGGAGAACGGGAUUGUUGUAGUUGCCGCCGCUGGAAAUGAUGGACCUGACCCUGGAGUCGUUGGGAAUGUAGCUCCCUGGAUUCUUACAGUUGCUUGUAGCACUAUCAGUAGGGAGUUCACAUCUAAUGUCAUCCUCGGAAAUAACAAACAAUACAAGGUUCGUUCUGUAAGCUCAUAUCUUUAGCAAGUCCUUGUAAAUUGUUCUACCUAUCAUGGGAUCCAAGAAUUUGCUAUAUUAAUUUCUAGAUAAUCAGGGUAUGAGUUUUAAUACCAACACUCAACCAGCUGGGAAGUUUUACCCCUUGAUCAAUUCGGUGGAUGCUAAAGCUGCCAAUGUUUCCAGUAAUCAAGCGUAAGCAGCAAACUAAUUUUGUUCUCGGCCAAAAUUAUAUUUUCUGUGCUUGUUAGGUUCAUAUUUCUUAUCUUGUUGUCUUUGGCAGAAAAUAUUGCUCCAUCAGAUCCCUUGACCCCUUGAAAGUUAAAGGGAAAAUUGUAUAUUGUACUCGCAACGAAGAUCCUGAUGUAGAAAAGAGUCUGGUUGUUUCUCAAGCUGGUGGUUUUGGGGUGAUACUUGCUAAUCAAUUGAUAAUUCAACAAAUCCGACCUCGAGCACACUUUGUUCCUACUUCCGUUGUCUCUGCAGACGAUGGACUUUCCAUUUUAACUUAUGUCUAUAGUACAAAGUAAGGUCUACGUUAAUAGAUAUUUCAGACAAUUAAACUUUGUUGAUUUCAGUCGAUAAUGCCCUGAACAAUCUAUCGUUUGCGAUCCUGUGAAUCUCUUGGAACUUCUCUUUUCACUCAGGUCACCUGUAGCUUACAUAAGUGGCGCCACGGAGGUGGGAACAGCGGCUGCACCUGUCAUGGCUGAUUUUUCAUCUCCCGGGCCUAACUUCAUCACCCCAGAGAUCCUUAAGGUACGUACUCUUAACAGUUUCAAAUGAGCGUUUUAAAAUAUUAUUUUUAUAGUGAGAGUGCAUGUGAUGAUUUCAGCCCGACAUCACUGCACCUGGAGUCAAUAUUCUAGCUGCCUUCACCGGAGCAUCAGGGCCAACUGAUGAGCCAGGAGACCGGCGCCGAGUACAUUUCAACUUUUUAUCUGGAACCUCAAUGGCAUGCCCCCAUGUUUCCGGAAUCGCAGGUCUUCUGAAGACUAUGCACCCUGAUUGGAGUCCUGCUGCAAUUAAAUCUGCAAUCAUGACAACGGGUUAGUGCUUUUCUGCUCUUCGCAUUAGCAUCUCCUAGUUAUUGAUGGACGAGUCAUUGAUAGCUUGAGUGGUUGCUUAUGACAUUUCAGCGACAACGAUCAGUAAUGUGAAGCAGCCUAUUGCAAAUGCUUCUCUUCUUGAGGCAAACCCAUUGAAUUAUGGUGCCGGGCACAUCUGGCCUAGCCGUGCAACGGACCCAGGCCUGGUCUAUGACCUAACGACUAAAGAUUACGUGAAUUUUCUAUGCUCCAUUGGCUAUAAUUCAACCCAGUUGUCACUUUUUAUUGGGAAGCCAUACAUAUGCCAGCAGCACAAUGGCCUGCUGGAUUUCAACUAUCCAUCCAUUACUGUCCCGAAUCUCUCAAGCAACAAGACCACGUUGUCCCGAACCUUGAAGAACGUGGGGACUCCAAGCUUGUAUAGAGUUAAUAUCAGGGCACCUGGAGGCAUAUCUGUGAAGGUUGAGCCAAGAAGCUUGAAGUUCGAUAAGAUAAACGAAGAGAAAAUGUUCAAGGUCACUCUAGAGGCCAAGAAAGGGUUUAAGAGUAAUGACUUCGUGUUUGGAGAGAUAACGUGGUCUGAUGGGAAACACCAUGUGAGGAGUCCUGUUGUGGUGAAGAAGAUGGAAGUAGCAGCGUAAGGUUGAAGGACAGUACUGACCUGGCGUCUGGAUUUGUAGGUGGAAGGCCAGCGUGUAGAGAUCUAUAUAUCUCCAUGGUCACCAAAUCGAUCUUCAAAUUCCCGUUCCAUGUCAUGACAAGUAUCGAAUGUCACCAAAUCGUGUCAUUUUUUUAUGCCACUAAUCUAGUGAUUGAACUAAAAAAAUAAAAAUAAAAAUAAAUGGGUUUGUUUUAGAAUGUUUUGGAAUGGUUCUUGGUUUUUAUCUACUUUCUAUUGAUUUUGUUUAGUUGCUUUAGUAUUUUUGUUUUUCUAUUUUUAUGUUAUUUAUGGCUCUGUUUUUUACCUUUUGUUGUGUGACAACUGAUUAGGUUACUGUAUAUUAAGGUUUUUUAGAGUGUAGGUAAUUCUUUGAAGCCUAGCUUACCAUCUUUCAUUUAUUAACAAAAUCUUAUGAUAAAGACAUUCAAUUGUCAUAUCCCUCAAUUGGAGAACAAAAGGAUAUACAUACAUUUUGUAGGUGUCAAAAAAAUAUGAAAGAUCUAUUAAUGUUAUUUAUUUACCUUAGUUUUUUUUAGGCUUAAUAAUUCUAUCUAGGAAAUUAUUUUCUAGUAUCUAAUUAAUCACAUAUUGCAGUGCGAUUAAGCUAAUGAUAAAUGAAUUCCCAAAAGAUUUAUCUACUUAUCGUGGUUUUUUUUUCUUUAGGCUUCAUAAUUGUACCUAAGAAAAUGACAUAUUACAUUACAAUUAAGUUAAUGAUGAAUGAAUUCCUACAAAGACCUUUUACCGAAGAAUGUGACCAUUUUAAGAGGUAGUAUAACAUCAUAAUUUUCUAAAAUAUCUUAGGUGUUGUUUUUGAACAAGUAUAUCCAAUUCAAACAUAAUAGUAAUAUUAUUUGGAAAAUUCUACUUUUAAUGUAUAAUAAGAAUAGUUGAUAAUAAAAAAAAUUAAACCUUCUAGUGAAUUUAAGAUGAUUUGAGAAAUAAGAACAAGAUCCUAAAUUAACAAGAUUCCAAGACCCGCUCCACAAUCACAACUAAAAAAUCCAAUUAAAAACACAUGAGGUUGUGGCCUAGUGGUUGAAGGGACUUGUUCCCUUCCUCCACACCAGGGUUCAAGCCUCACUUGUGUAUACCUGUCACCCCCGCGGUGUAUUACAUGCUCACUGGGCUUGCAGGAUAUUCAGUGAACCUGGAGAUUAGUUGUGGUGCGCUCAAGUUGGCCCGGACACCCCGUGUUACCAAAAGAAGAAGAAGAAGAAGAAGAAAAUAGAUAAUAUAUAACAAAAACAAGAGGAAAAGGUGAUAAAGAAAGGGAUUUGAGGGAGAGUAUUACCUGAAAUUAUAGGGAUUCAAGGAAGCUUCAAUCUUGAUUUAUGCAAAGUGGAUCUGUACGAGGUUUAUUUUUUGUUAAAGAAAGGGAAGUCUUUUUCGGAGCUAAGAAGAGGGAAACACUUUUCUUUUAGGAAAUACUUAUUUUUUUCUUUAGUUGAAAACUACCAUUCUAGAGUUUACCGAACAUGAAAAAGUUUUGGAAAAUAACUUAUUGAAAAGUUAUUUCCAUAAAACAAACAAGGCCUUAAUGUUAAGAUAUACCAGUGUCCCAUAGGACAUCUUAGUAAACUAAAUGUAAAAAUUGUUAAAAAAUAAAAAAAGUUCUAGGUAAAGAGCUGGUUAUAUGAUAGAGAAGAUAACAAUCACCCUAUACAUUCUAUCUAAAGUAAGUUGCUUCAUAUUUAUUUUUAAUGAUAAAGGUGUAUAAUAUGUUUACGCGCUAAGAGUUUGUCUAAAUUGGCAUAUGCUCAUUUGUUAUUAAGGAUAAAUACUAUUAUGACUUAAGAUAGUGAUUUAAGACUUGGACUUGGUAACAAGGAACACUUUUCACUUUGAAAAAACGAGCAUUAGACCCGCAGGGAAGGUGAGAAAUUGAUAAGUAUAAACCUGUUCAAGAUUCUGUUGAUUGAAAUGGGUCCAAAAACUAUCCCUCACACUCAAUAGGCCUAUAUGUGAUCAUAUCGAUCCAACCCAAAUUCGCUCGUCGCAUCAAAAAAAGGUAUUCCAAAAAAAAAUCAAUAUGAAAAUAAAUUCGUACACAUCUACAUGAACAUAUAAAAUUCAAAUAAUAGGAUAUUUAUAAAUAAUAUUAACGAGUUAAACUUAAAGUCAAGGUUUUACAAAUAUAGUCGAGACCGAAGCCUCUGACCUAGGUUAUGGCGGAAUUCUUAAACAAGUUCAAGAUGACAAAGAGCAGAUCCUCGAAUGCACAUCCGCCCACUAGAAUGAUUGCCAGAAAAGUACUCUACUAUAUAUAUAUAUAUAAAGAGAUCCUUUCAAUUGUUUUCUAUAUUAAAAAAUUUCAAAGUGAUUUACUAAAUCAAAAAUUUCUUUUAUGUGUUGAUUGCAAAUCCGCAAAAGAAGUUCUAUAAAAAGAUGUCCAAAAUCUUGCUUCAAAAUAGAUUUUUGCCAGAUGGCAAGCUAUUUUAAGCAUUUUUUAUUUCAAUAUUGUCUACAUUAAAGGAGAUUCAAAUUUCAUUCCUGAUUUCUUAACCUGAGAAUUCCUUCAAAAUAGGUCUUGAUGCCUCUGAAAGCAAAGGCCAAAGACAAGAGAAAAGCCCCUCAAACCCAACCUACAAAACCAGAGAGCCCCAAACCCUCUAUAAAACAAUGUCUUCAGCUAUCUUAGCUGCCAAACCAAUCAAAUCCUCGUAUGAGGCAGUUAUUAAAGAAGAAGAAACUACAAAAACCCCAACAGGUACAAACAGACGCAGUUCAACAUUGGGUUGACACUAUAUCCAAAUCACCAUAAUUACUCCUGGCAUUACAAAAAGUGUCUCAACAGACCUCCGGUGACUCCGUAUCUCAAACAGGUAGUAUUUUUCAAACCACUUUCAAAACCAUAAGGAGGUAUUUCUACUUCAAAACCCCUCAUUUCUUUACAACAAACUAGUUUUCUAAAAACCAAAUCCAAAUAUAUUUUCAAAACUACUUUCCAAAAUAUUUUAACUAUGGAGGAAGGAUUUUAUCAUGAAAACCCUUUCAUUGCUUCUUCCAAAAUUUUCCCUUCAAAUUGGUACUACAAACCCUGGAAUUUAGCCAAACCACAAUCCUAUUAUGCCGUAAUCCUUGAGAUUACUAAUUCUAUCAAGUUCAAACACUUCAAACUUCAUUCUGAUCACACUGAACCGGCAUAUUCUACAUGUAUCAUUCACAAAGUCAUUCACCCUAAAGACUUGGGUCAACCCUUACAUCAACAUCUUUCCUUCCCCAUACACUUCUGUACAAACCCCUAGGACUUCAAUACUUCCUAUACAUAUUGGGAUUACCAACAGGCAUGGUUCAAUGCCUUCCUCCUAUAAAAUCCAAACCAUAGUCAUUCUUGGCUUUUCUACUUCCAUAAUGACAUGAAUACUACAAACCUCCCCCUCUGGUUCCUCCAAUGGUGGGACUAUUAUGGUUGUCAUGUUGACUACCUCAAAGGCCAUCCUCUGGUUGAAAACGGCUACCUCCAUUUCAAAAAUAAUUUUUAACCAGCUUCUUCUGAAAGGAAGUUCUCUUCCUUGCUCAUUUUCUGUACAAAUUUUUUUAUGUCAUGGGUAUGUUUGUGGUUCUAUGAUUAUAAUUGUCGCACGUAAAUGCGGCGUCACGGCGAAAAACUAAGUUUUCCAUUUUUAAAACCACAAUGUAAUAUAUAUAUGGGGAUACGAGAAAAUAUUAUUUUUUUUUUGGUAAAAAUGGAAUGGGAGUCGCCACCUAGUAUUUUGGUCACUAGGAACCCUAACUGGUCUCAGAGAUCGGGUACGGGGACUGGUUGCGUAAAGGGAAGGUAUUAGCACCCCAAGUACGCCUUACCUAAGGUAAGCUGCAUUGUUCUAUUGUCUGAUAAAAGCUAUGGUGUUUUUUUUUUUUUCUAGUCGUUGGUCUGUCUAUGGUUCAAGAAAAAUCCUCCUCAGUAAGAAGGUCUUUUAUCUUAUCGGGUAAAAACUUAACCGUUCUAACGUCUACCAAAAAGAUAAUAUUUAGGAAUACGUUUUACGUAUAAAUUCGUAAUCCCAAAUACUAAAAGAAAACAAAAAGAUUUUUUAGAAUUUUUGAAAUCUUGGCCUAGUUCUCAUGGCUUAAAUAAACUGGUUAUUCAAGCCAAAAUGCAUGCUAAUACGUACAUUGUUUUGAAAAUUUUCUUUGUUGUGUAAAAAAAAUGAUGUUAUAAUAUUUAUAUCUAUAUAUAUUGGAGAGACUAAGCCGUAUUUUAAAGACAAAAACAAUUUUUGAAAAUAUUAUUAUUAUUAAUUCUUUUUUUUUUUGCUUUUUUUUGACGUAAAUCGGGUAUUUAAAUACUGAGCUUGUAUCCUUACGGUAUAAAAAUACAACCCAAUAUUAUUCCACCUUAAUAAAAAAUGCAGAAAAAUCAACAACAUUUUUAGGUAUUUUUUUAGAAAUUUUUUUGAAAGCAAAAACAUUUUUUAUUCGAAAAAUCUUUGAUAUUUUUACGAAAACCGGGUAUUUUUAACACUGGUUUGAUAUCUUUACAGUAUAAAAAUACCAACCAACAUUAACCCAUUUUGACAAAAAUAUUCAGGGAAAUCAACAAUAUUUUUUAAGAUUUUUCGAAAUAUUUUUUUUUUAGUAAAAAAAAAUAUACACAAUAUACACACAUAUAUAUUACAAUAUACUAUAAUUAAUAAUAUAUUUAUAAUAAAAAUUCGGGUUGGGCCGGACCAAAUGAAUGGGCCGAACCCAACCCAGCCGGAAUCGGGCCCAACAUCAGCCCGAAACAGGAGUGGGCCGAUCGCAGCCCAGCAAAAGGCUGGGCCGAUCUCGGCCCGCAAGGAGGUUGGGCCGAUCUCGGCCCAACGAAAGGCUGGGCCGAUCUCGGCCCGCAAGGAGGUUGGGCCGAUCUCGGCCCAACGAAAGGCUGGGCCGAUCUCGGCCCGCAAGGAGGUUGGGCCGAUCUCGGCCCAACGAAAGGCUGGGCCGAUCUCGGCCCGCAAGGAGGUUGGGCCGAUCUCGGCCCAACGAAAGGCUGGGCCGAUCUCGGCCCGCAAGGAGGUUGGGCCGAUCUCGGCCCAACGAAAGGCUGGGCCGAUCUCGGCCCGCAAGGAGGUUGGGCCGAUCUCGGCCCAACGAAAGGCGGGGCCGAUCUCGGCCCGCAAGGAGGUUGGGCCGAUCUCGGCCCAACGAAAGGCUGGGCCGAUCUCGGCCCGCAAGGAAGUUGGGCCGAUCUCGGCCCAACACAAGGCUGGGCCGAUCUCGGCCCGCAAGGAAGUUGGGCCGAUCUCGGCCCAACACAAAAAACAUCUUUAGCCUGGGCCAGACUCGGUCUGGCCCAAAAUGAAUAACAACAAAACUGGGCCGGAAACCCGGCCCAGUGUUAAAAAAAACUCAGCGGGGAAGGGAAAACAGUUCCCUUCCCCUACCUCCUGCAUGCAGAACGAUUCUGCAUGCAGGAGGACAAACAGAAAAAAAAAAGUGCAGGGGGUGGAGGAAAUACCUGGCACGGCGGAGGAAAUACCCGUGUUGAUGGUGCUGCAGCAAAGUUGGUGGCUCCCAAGCGACGGUGCUUAACAGUCGGGUGUCCUCUCGGGUCGUGUCCGGUUAACGUUUUCUCUAACUCUCCCCACGGCUUCAGUCUUCUUCCCCUCCUCCCCGUGCUGUUUCUUCGAGUUUUAGGUGUUUAGUUCUACUGUUUAAGUCGUCUCUCUCUCCUCCAGUUUCUCUCUCUCUCUUGGUCUUGGUCUCCCCCUUUUUUCUCCUCUUUUCUCCCCCGUGCUUCACAUCUUUCCCCUUCUUUUAUAGGCGGGCAAAGGAGCGGGGCUGCAUAGGCAGCGUGGGGAGCAGAACAAGGUGGGUCGAGCUGGGCAACGUGGGGGGCAGCGCCGGUCGGCUGGUCGGUGAGCGUGGUUGAUCACGGCGUGGCCCUCCUGGCUUCGCGUCGUCCGAGGUGCAUGGGCCUGGUCUGUCAGUGCACGCGAGGAGAGAGGGGCACCGGUUGAUUAAACAACGGUUUCGUCCAUGCUGCUGCACGUUCGGGGAGGAAGAAGAAAGGAGAACAGUGCCGUUCAAAACGGCACCGUUUGGUCCCCUUUUUUUUUUUUUUUUUUUUUUUUUAAAAUAUAUGAAACGGCGUCGUUUUGGGGAAAACGCGCCGUUUCAUUUAAAAAAAGGCGCCAGAAUACGCAAAAUUUCAACUCAGCCCUCAAUUAUCUUUUGAUUCCUUCAAUUGCGUCCCUGCCAAUUUCGGUCCUCGCCCCCAUAGUUGGCCGCGUUUUUCAUCUUGGUCCUUGGCCUCUGAUUUAUGCAAUUAAGCCCUCAAUUGACCAAUAAACUUCCAAUUUCUUCAAUUACGCCCCUGGAUCAAAUCAAGACAGCCCCCUCUAUUUACCCGCGUGUUCCAAAUUGGUCCCUGGUUUCGGAUUUUCACAAUUAAGCCCCUAAUUGGCCAUUAAACUUCAAUAUUUAUGCAAUUAAGCCCCUGAUUUGGCCUAAUAAAUUCCAAAAAAAUAUAUUUUGGCCCCAGAACUUAAAUUUCUCCCAAUUAAAACCCAAAUUGACCUAAAAAUAAAUUUUUCUUGCACUCCAAUCCUCUAUAAAUUCAAAUAAAAUCCAAUUAAGUCCCUAAACAUCCAAAUUUGGGCUUUUCUCCUCAAAAAUUCAAAUUUUCCUUCUCAACAGGGCUCUCAUCCUUCAAGAAAAUAUUGCCAAAAAUCCAAUCUCUGUAUUUUUAACCUCCGUGACCAAUCUUUCGACCAUUUUCUGAGCGCUUAUGCCUCCUGUUAUUUUUUCUAACCUUCUUCGGCUAUUUAUUUAUUAUUAUUUUUUUGUGGGGAUCCAAAAAUGGGUUACAACAGAUGCCCCCUCUUUAUAAUGCUUACGGAGCAAAGGCGUAGUAAGUUUUAUAAAGAUAACCCAGUCUGAACUCCUGAAACUGAUUUGGUCGAAGCUUAAUCGAUCUGAAAUUCUUUCUUUACAGCAAUCCUCUUCGGCCUCAAAUAUUGGGAUCCCAUCUGGCGAUUCCCUGAACAUAGAAAAUAUGAGGUCCCCUCUGGCGACCUCUUUUGACAAUUAUCGAAAUACGAGAUCCCUUCUGGCGAUCUCCUUUAAUCAACUUGGAACCCCAUCUGGCGAUUCCUAUAUGAAAUAUGAGAUAUGAGGUCCCAUCUGGCGGCCUGCAAGUAGUGAAACACGAGAUCCCUUCUGGCGAUCAACCUGGAAUCCCAUCUGGCGAUUCCUUUUUAACCAAAAUGAAAUAUGAGGUCCCGUCUGGCGACCUUCGAAUAGUGAAACACGAGAUCCCUUCUGGCGAUCUCCUUUAAUCAACUUGGAAACCCAUCUGGCGAUUCCUUUUUAACCAAGAUGAAAUACGAGGUCCCAUCUGGCGACCUCCGAAUAGUGAAACACGAGAUCCCUUCUGGCGAUCUCCUUUAAUCAACUUGGAAUCCCAUCUGGCGAUUCCUUUUUAACCAAAAUGAAAUACGAGGUCCCAUCUGGCGACCUCCGAAUAGUGAAACACGAGAUCCCUUCUGGCGAUCUCCUUUAAUUAACUUGGAAUCCCAUCUGCGAUUCCCCUUUUUCCAAAAUGUUAUCGACGUCGCUCUUCCUGCUGGCGGGUUUUGACAAUUACUUUCUCUUCUUGUUGUUCUAACGGUUCAUUAUUCGUCCCCAUUCUUGUUGGAAUGCACUAAGAUCUCCUCCUGUAACGAUAGAGAAAAGAACAUACAUGCAAUGAUUUAUGAUUAGAUAUAAUGCAUGCAUCCGUACCUGGUUUUUUUGAAACAUAGGCCCCAUCAUCUUCUUCUAGUUCCUGAAGCUCUUUCUUAAUACGAGCUUGCUUUUGAAGUCAUAUGCUGGAUUCAUCUCUCGCGUUGCCUCUUUUUACUGAUCAUAUUCUUGGAGAAUAAUUCUUUGAUUUUCUUCAAGUAGACAUUUUCUCAAAAUGUAUGACUUGUUAUUGCCUUUUUGUCAUGCUUUUGUCAAAUGCUUUAGCUUGGUUUUCAAAUUUGUUGGCUUCCGUAAUACUUUUAUAAAAACAUCUUGUAUUGCCUCCCAACGUAGGGGUGUGAUCCUAGUUUGGGCUUUUAUAUAGAGAAGAAAUGCGUUCAGCCGAUGCUAAAAAUUUUAAUAAGUGAUGAGAAUAACACCAAGACAUGCACUGUUUGGAUUAAUGCGAAAAUGAAUGUUGUGAGAUCAAUGCAAGAAGAAAGAAAUCAAUGGCCAAACUUUGCUUUAUUGAUUUAAGGGUUUACAUCAAGCAUAAUAUCUUUUCACAGAGUCAGAAUUCACAGGCCUAGCUAAGUCUUCUCCAUCCAUUCUAGCUAACUUCAAUGCUCCUCCUGAGAAUGCCCUUGUUACUACAUAAGGACCCUCGUAAUUUGGUGCCCAUUUGCUUUGAUCAUCUCCGGGUAGUGACAAUAUUUUCUUUAAUACUAAAUCCCCUUCUUGAAACAUCCGUGGCCUAACCUUCUUAUCAUAUGCUUUAGCCAUUCGUUUCUGGUAAAGCUGGUGGUGACAUAUUGCGGCCAUCCUCUUUCACUGAUCAGGUUCAGUUGCUCGUGUCUUACUUUGGCCCACUCGGCCUCUUCUAACUCUGAAUCUAUUAACACUCUUAACGACGGGAUUUCCACUUCCAAGGGCAUCACUGCCUCCAUACCGUAUACUAGAGAAUAUGGGGUAGACCCUGUCGAGGUUCGGACUGCGGUGCGAUAUGCAUGAAGGGCAAAUGGCAACAUCUCAUGCCAAUCCCUGUAGUUGACUACCAUCUUCUGAAUAAUCUUUUUGACAUUCUUGUUAGCAGCUUCUACCGCCCCAUUCAUCUUUGGUCUAUAUGGCGAAGAAUUGGAAUGCUUGAUUUUCCACUUAGUGCAGAGCUCUAUUAUCAUCUUGCCGUUGAAAUUUUGGGCAUUGUCAGUUAUAAUCUUUUCUGGUGGACCAUACCGACAUAUCAAAUCUCUCUCAAUAAACUUCUUCACCACUUUUUGCGUCACAUGAGCAAAUGACCCGGCUUCUACCCAUUUUGUGAAGUAGUCAAUAGCCACGAGGAUAAAUCUAUGACCAUUGCUCGCUUUUGGGUUUACAGGUCCAAUUACAUCAAUUCCCCACAUCGCGAAGGGCCAUGGAGAUGUUAGGUUAAACAGAGGAGCUGGUGGCAUAUUGACCUUGUCACUGUAAAUUUGACAUUUGUGACAUUUUCUGACAUAGUCUAUACAAUCUUUUUCUAGUGUCAUCCAAAAAUAACCAGCCCUUUGGAUUUUCCUUGCCAUCAUAUGUCCGCUAGCAUGGGUUGAGCAAAUCCCCUCAUGGACCUCUUUUAAUGCCCUUCUAGCAUCUGCCUCAUCCAAACACCUUAACAAGGUUCCAUCAAAUGACCUUUUAUAUAAAAUCUCUCCAUCUAAAUAGAAGUCUAUAGCCAACCUUCUCAAGGUUUUCUUAUCCGUCUUAGAAGCUCCCACCGGAUAUUCCUGAUUCUGCACCAGAUUCUUGAUAUCGUAAUACCAAGGUUGUCCGUCUAUCUCUCCCUCAACUAAACAACAGUGAGCUGGAUCAUUUCUAAUAUCAAUGUGUACCGGUUGUACCUUGCACUUGAGAUCAAUGGUAGUCAUAGCAGCUAAUGUGGCCAAAGCAUCCGCAAAAUGGUUCCCCUCCCUUCCCAGAUGGGUGAAUCUAAUUUCUUCAAAUUCCUUUGCUAGCAUGGAUAGGUAUUCCUGGUAAGGCCUCAACUUUUCUUCUUUGGUUUGCCAUUCCCCUUUUACCUGGCAAAUGAUCAACAUUGAGUCCCCAUAUACAUCUAUCUUCUUUAUUUUCAGCUCCAAUGCUGCUUCUAAACCGAGGAUACAAGCUUCAUACUCAGCUGUAUUGUUGGUGCACUCGAAGUGUAGUUUGACCGAAACGGGGUAUUGUUUCUUAUCAGGAGAGAUUAUUACCGCCCCUGCCCCGUUACCAUAUACAUUUACUGCCCCAUCAAAAAACAUGGUCCACCAAUCUGUCUUUUCUUCUUCCUUUUCUAUUGACAAUAUAUCUUCAUCAGGGAAAUCAAAAUCCAAAGGUUCGUAAUCUUCAAUAGCAUUAUCGGCCAGAUGGUCUGCGAUUGCACUCCCUUUUACGGCUUUCCUUGUCAUAUACACUAUGUCAUAUUCUGCUAACAAAACUUGCCACCUUGCAAUCCUACUUGAGAGAAAAGGCUUAUUACAAAUAUACCUCAGAGGAUCCACUUUUGAAAUCAACCAAGUGGUAUAGUAUAACAUGUAAUGUCUCAACCUCUUUGCCGCCCACACCAACGCACAACAGAGCCUUUCUAUCUCCGUGUAUCUGGACUCACAUUCAGUGAAUUUCUUACUCAAGUAAUAAAUAGCUCUUUCCUUCCUUCCGGUUUCAUCAUGCUGACCCAAUACACAACCCAUGGCUACUUCAGUAACGGUUAGAUAUAAUACUAGAGGUUUUCCUGAUACAGGAGGAACCAGUAAAGGUGGAUUUUGUAAAUAAUGCUUGAUUUUAUUGAAUGCCUCCUCACACUCCUCAUUCCAGGUUCCGGGAUUCUUUUUCCUUAGUAGCCGGAAUAUAGGCUCGCAUGUUGUUGUUAGCUGAGCUAUAAACCGAGCAAUGUAAUUCAACCUUCCCAAGAAUCCUCUUACUUCUUUCUCCGUCUUAGGGGACGACAUGGCCUGGAUGGCCCUUACUUUAUCCGGAUCCACCUCUAUACCUCUAUCACUUACCACAAAUCCCAACAGCUUGCCCGAUUUAACUCCGAAUGAACAUUUUGCAGGAUUAAGCCUUAGUUCAUACUUUCUCAACCUCUCAAAUAACUUCCUCAAAACUUCCACAUGAUCUUGUUCCUUUUUAGACUUGGCAAUCAUAUCAUCUACAUAUACCUCAAUUUCUUUGUGCAUCAUGUCGUGGAAUAGAGUCACCAUUGCUCUUUGAUAUGUUGCACCCGCGUUCUUUAACCCAAAUGGCAUGACCUUGUAGCAGUAGGUCCCCCAAGGUGUGACAAAAGUUGUUUUCGCCUUAUCCUCUAAAGCCAUUUUUAUUUGGUUGUAUCCUGAAAAACCGUCCAUAAAGGAAUAAGUGGAACUUCGGGCAGCAUUAUCCACUAAAACAUCUAUGUGGGGUAGAGGAAAAUCAUCCUUAGGGCUGGCCUUAUUCAAAUUCCGAAAAUCCACACAAACUCGAAUCUUCCCUUCCUUCUUAGGCACCACAACAAUGUUAGAUACCCAUUGUGGGGUAUCUAACUACUUCUAGAAAACCAGCAUCCCACUGCUUUUCGAGUUCUGCCUUGACCUUGAUCCAGACGUCUGGGUGGGCCCUCCUUAGCUUCUGCUUGACUGGCUUAUAACCUUCCUCCAACGGUAUCUUGUGUUCUACAAUACUUGUAUCCAAACCGGGCAUAUCUUCAUAGGACCAAGCAAAGACAUCUGAAUACUCUUGUAAUAGGGUGAUCAUUUUUAUCCUUUGUUCAGAAGUAAUUAGGGUACCUAUUUUCAACUCUUUCUUGAGCUGACCAUUGCCCACAUUGAUGGUUUCGAGUUCCUCGGUGGCAGGCUUCCAAGUCUGUUCCUGUUGUUCUACUAGCCUGGUGAAUUCACUGAUGUUGCUUUCAUCCCACUCUUCUUCUUCCAUAGCUAUUACAUGCUCGUUCCAGUUUGGCCAUUUAUUCUUGAUGUUAAAUGUAUGCGAUGUUGUUGGAGAUCCGCUUUCAGGAUUCCUGAAAGCGGGAAGUGCUUGGUGUAAAUGCAUAUAUAAAAAACAAUUUCUGAAAAAGUGCAUGAUCUCACAUUCAUUCAAAGGAAAAAGGUGGGCUCUAUGACAAAUAUAGAAUCUAGCUGACAUCAUGAGCCUUGAUUGUCAACUAGAGAAAACAAAAGCAAACAUAAGCAAUGACAAAAACAUGCUAAGGCAAACAAAGUUGGUUUACAUUUUGAAAACCACUGGAGCUUCUUGGGUCACCCAAUUCUGAAACUUUUCGCCUGGAGCCAACUUGCGCACAACGGUCUUGGCGGAGACUUCUUCUAGUGUAUGGAUCGUCAGCUGUGGUAGCACUUCAUCUUCUUUUCCCGCUACUGCUUUCACGUCAUCCCCUUUCUUCUCGUUUCCCUCCAAGGUGUUUAUGCUCAUAUGAGCCAGUUCUAUACCCAGGCUUUCAGCUCCCUUAUCAUGUUGCACUACGUAUGCAGCUCUUGGGAAUGAUAUGCUAAGGGGAGGGAUUUCUAAUUGUUCUUCUUCAAGAUCUCUUCCUUUGAUUCUAGCCAUCCUUCUUGCCCUUCUCCGAUUAGCAGCCCAACGAUAAUCCUCUUGGUUAGGUUGAUAUCCUAACCCAAAUCUUUGAUCAGCCUUUCUCUUUCUUGUCGGAUUAGCCCCUUCUGGUAUUCCGCAAGCGAGGUUAUAUUGACGUGGGACCCCACGGUUCAAGAAGCAUAGACUUGCCAUCCUUGUUGCUUCUGAAAUCCUUGGCCUUCUUAGCACGGUGUUCUCCGGCACCCAGUCGGUGUUCACGAUCUCAAAAGCAUGGAUAUUGCCAUCCUUGCAAUCCUCCGCUUCGAUGAAAGGCACAGCCACAUUCUUUAUCAUGGAUAUUGCCUCCUCAGCCUUGACAGUUACCAACAUCCCAUUCAUGAUGUACUUCAGGCAUUGGUGCAAUGACGAAGUUACUGCCCCCGCCGCGUGAAUCCAAGGUCUUCCCAACAACAUGCUAUAGGAAGGGUGGAUAUCCAUAACCUGAAGUGUCACUAGGAACAUUUGCGGUCCCACAUAUAGCUCCACUUCUAAAGUCCCAAGUAUUGGCCUAGGUGAGCCAUCAUAUGCUCUGGCCAUCAUAGUACUUGGCUUCAUAUGCGAUUCAUCAAUCGGCAUUUCCUCUAGAAUGUGCUUUGGCAGUACGUUGAGGGCCGAGCCAUUAUCGACGAGCACCUUCCCUACAAGACAGUCUUUGCACCUAACAGUAAUGUAUAAAGGCUUGUUGUGUCCGGUACCUUCGGCAUCAAGCUCAUCAGCCGUGAAGUAGAGGUAAUUAGUUGCAUGGAUCCUCCCUACUAAAUGCUCCAUGGUUUUAUGCUCAAUGUCUUGAGGUACAUAUGCCUCAUUCAAUACCUUUUGCAAGGCAUUUCGAUGCGGCUCAGAGCUGAGUAUCAAGGACAUAAGGGAGAUUCGCGCUGGAGUCUUUUUUAGUUGAUCCACUAUGCAAUAUUCGCUAUGCUUGAUCAACUUCAAAAACUCAUUCGACUCCUCUUCCGUUACUGGUUUAUUAACUUCGGGAGCUUUGUCCAGAUCUACCACCUCCUUACCCUUUUCCUUCCUCCAUUCUUCAGGCGUAAAGCAACGACCACUCCUGGUCAAACCACUUAUCUCCGUCUGGAACAAAGGAAGAGGCGCUCGAAUGUCGGAGGCAUACCCAUAAUUAUACGGCAUGGCAUUGUGAUUCUCUUUUGUGCAGGACGGUUUAAUCAAGAUCAGCCUUGGGGGCCCAUUAGCAGUCUGUUGGAUCCGGCAAACUCCUGCCAUCUCAUCUUGGCCUUCCAUCAUGCUCACUUCGUACCUGCUCUCCAUGGGUUCAAUCCUCAAUUGUCCCAUCUUCAACAUUUUUGCGAUCUUUUCGCAAAACUUUGCGCAAUCCUCAAUGUGAUGUCCAUCUCUUCCGUGGAACUCACAGUAGUCACCUCUCCCCGAUUGCCUUACCGCCUUUGCCUUUAGAAAUCCUGAUUGUACUAACAUGUCGUACAACCUUUUCAUCGGCACCUUCAACACCUUGCCUUGAUUUCCCACUUCGAUCAUGCCUAUUCCACCACUAUUUGGAGCAUGCUUAGGCAAUGGGUUUGAAUUAACAUUGGGCUUGUCUUCAAAGGAUACCCAUCCCGCCCUAAUAAGCUCUAAUAACCUCUUUUUGAAGGCAUAGCAAGUUUCAAUCCCAUGCCCGGGAUUACCCCCAUGGUACUCGCAAGACAACUCAGGCUUGUACCAAAUUGGGAAUGGUGGUUGUAAUGGUAGUGUAGGGAUAGGAGCUACUUGUCCAAUGCUCAACAGCUUGGCAUACAUGUCCUUCAAUGGCAUGGGUAAAGGCGGCAGUUGUUCUGAAGUGUAUCUUGGGUGUGGUCUUUGGUAGUGAUCUUGGUAGUGAUUUUGGUAGUUUGGCUGGUUAUUUGUUCGGUUAGGUGAAAAAGAUUGGUUAAAGUUUAUGCGUGAGACUUGAGCGGUAGGUGCUUGUGGACUACGGAAAUUUACUUUCUUGCCUUUGUACCCGUCCUCCAAAUUGUUGACGUCCCCUUCUCUUUUCCUUCCAACAAAACCUUUCUUCUCUAAAGGCUCCGCUAUGCGCCCAGCUUUAAUUCCUUGCUCUAUUCUUUCGGCCACGCGUACAACAUCAUAGAAAUGUUGAGAUGAGCUACCCAUUAAAUGCUCAUAGUAAGGUGCCUUGAAUGUAUUGGCGAACAAAGUCACCAUCUCUGUUUCUAUUAAAGGGGGUUGCACAUGCGUGGCCUCGUCUCUCCAUCUUUGCGCAUAAGCCCUCACUGACUCUUGGCUUCUCUUUUCGAGUGACAUGAGGCUCGUUCGAUCUGGAGCGAUUUCUAAAUUGAACUUGUAUUGCUUUAGGAAAGCCUCCACUAAGUCCUUCCAUUUCUUAAUCUUGACAUUAUCCAGCCUCAUGUACCAACUUAACGCAGAUCCUUGCUAGACUGUCUUGGAAAAAGUAGAUCAUUAACUUAUCGUCAUGAAUCACCUCAGCCAUCUUAUUGCAAUAAGAUCGAAGGUGAGUGUUUGGGCAUUCCAACCCAGUGUACCUUAUAAACUCCGGUAUCCUAAAAUCUUUUGGCACCGUGAGGUUUGGUACCAAGCAUAUUUCCGACGCUCGCAUGGGGUCAAACCAAUCAUUUCCCUCGACUGCUCUUAACCUUUCUUCUAAUGCUGAUAUUUUGUCCUCGUUCACAGAACCAGUGGACCUAUUAUCGGAAGGCCCCUCAGCUGUUAAAUCUACAGUGAUGCGAGCUUGAGGGGGCUGAAUGGGAAUAGCCGGUGCAAAGUGCUGCCCCGUCGCUGAAUCUGCCCCCAAGUUCUGAGAUAACCCCAGGACAGGAACUGGCGGUGCUCCUAUAGGUGGUUGGGUAGACGUUCCCUCUCCGUUCUUGGUUCUUAACAGUUGCUCAAGCAGACUGGUCAGUCGAGAAACUUCAUUUUUCACUAAUUCCAACUCGGUCUGGUAGUGCGACUCUAAUUGAGCUCUUUCCUCGUUUUCCAUUCUUGAUCUUGACCGGGUUUGGUGGACUCUGGAUAUGGGACCUAUGUUUCACGAUCUGGCAUGCAUAUGAUGAAUUAAAAACAAAAUGUGUGAUGAGAAUGCGAUGCAUAUGUAAUGUGUAUAUAUAUAUAAUAUAUUAUGAGCUGAUUCAUGACUUUCGUAACCUUUAACAAGAUUUCUGAGUUGACCGGAUUACCAUAAAGGAGGGUUUGCCAAGUUCUUAUCAUAGUGGCUUACUCAACACAUUAAGAAAGGAAAUACGUCAUGGACUUCUUAUAAAUAACAUAAUUGCUCAUACAAAACAAUAAUGGAAAAGAGAAGUCCUAUACAUUGCUACUUCUAAAAGGCAUUUCCCCUAUUAGCUAAAUCCCUAAUAAAACAGACCAUGGCCCCCAUGUAUUCUCGAUACUUUGAACCGUCAUUUCCAACUUCGGUGGCUUGCUGUUGCAACCUUUCUGCACAAUGGGCUACGUGCUCCACCUGUUUUGACAUAUGUCUUAUCUUAUCAUGGAAUACAGCGUUAUCUCCGAUUAUUGCUUCGUUGCUGGCUCCUAAUGCUUCAUUGCUUCUUUCCAAUACUCGCACCAUACCCUCUGAUUGUGCCAACUUAUCUCUUGUCCUCUGUAGUUCCUCCUUUUCGAUGUCCAGCUCUGCUAUUUUGGAAUUGAGUUGAACUGUGAAGCUGUCCAUGUAGUCUUGGCAUUCUUGACGCUCUUGCUUAACCUUGCUCAUCUCUUCUUCCAUCUCGAAGUAGUGGCUUCUCAACUCCCUAAACUCUUCUUCUCGUACUUCGAUCUCCGAUUGUAACGCCCUCAUCCUUCCUUUUGAAGACUCAGCUCUCUUCUGGUAAUCUCUCAUGUCAGACUCAGCGGCCCUUCUCGCAUUUCUUUCUUCCUCUAAUUGCACCAUGUAUUGAGCUCUAACCUUCCUUUCUUCUUCUAUGUCUAGGUUGGCUAGACGAUUCUUCUCCUUUUCAUCUUCUAUUUUCUUUAAAAGAAGUUUCCUUCCCUUCUUCAAAGAAUCCAUCAUCUCCUUAUCCACAUUCACGCCUUUUGUUGACCUCUUAACCUUAGCCAAUUCUUCUUCCGCUACCCCAUUCUUCUUGACCAACUCGUCAUAAUCAGCUAUUCGAUUCCUUAACUCAACCUGGACCCCCGUUGUUACCUCUUCAGCUACCUCGGCCCUUUUCUGCCAUUCCUUUAGAGACAUUAGUUGUUUCUCUUGUUUUUCUAACCGCUGAUUCAAGAAAACCCUCAUCGUAUUUUCCUCCUCGAGCUGGUUCUCUAGCAGUUGUUGUCGCCCCUUGCUUUUGCUGAGUUCUAUUAUACAUUGAUCUAAUUGUUUUUCUUAGAUCUUCUUCGUCAUCCUUUCUUUUCCUUUUCUGUGGUUCUAUCGCUGCCUCUGGCUGUUCUUGUGUAGAGAGACCCUUCGCUGCAGAAAAAUCUUCAUUCCUCCAAACUGUAUAAUUAUGGCUGAAUGAGGUUUCAAAACUACUUCCUUCUUCUCUUUUUACCUUCACGGGCCUUUCCCAAUCCUGUCGGAUAAGCGCCAUUUCUUCUAUGAACGGUUGGUGCUUGAAUAACCCAAUAAAAUCAGCUAAACCCAAGGUUCUUGGCGUAUAUUGCAUUCCGCCCAACUGCCUUGUUACGAGGGCGGGCGCAUAGCUGAUGUAACCAGUUACACCAAUUAGAGGAACCCAUAUCUUGCUUCCGCAGCUCAUUGUGCAAAUAGCGUUGUUCAUCCACGGCGCUUUCCAUUUGAAGUUGCUACUUGGCAAUGCUGCAUACUUAUCCCUCCAUGCUUUCUCAUCCCAAUUCUUCCAAGUCUCAUCUAUGGUAAUCUUUAGCGGUCGCAAGUCAAACCACCAAAAGUUGUUGAAGAUGUCUCUCGGUGCUUCGAUAUGACUAAUUAUCCAUAGGUACAACAUAGGGACGCAGCAUCUCAUAGCUCCUUUUCCAUGUGUCCGGCAGUGACUAAGAGAUAACAUGGUUUCCCCCAAGAUGGCUGAGGAAGGAUUGAUCCGGUCACGCUCAUACUCAACGAAGACACUUGCUGCUUCUAAACUGAUGACCCCAGUUUCAGAAGGGAACAACACUAGCCCAAAAAUAGCGAAGGCCACCAACCUAUAUCGCUCGUCUCCCAACUUGCCUUCUUCGGCAUUUUUCCUCAUUCGGGCUUCAAUGACCUUCCAUUUAAAACCCCCUUCAGCAACUCUACACUGGCUGAUCUUUCCUAAACUUAAUAAGCUGAUUACUUCCGAAGCUGUGUCUUCAAAUCUGCGUCGGUGGUAGAUUCGGUGGCUAUCAUUUGGAAAGUCCAGAAUUCUCUCAUAUUCUUCCAAAGUGGGUGUCAUAUCGAUGUUUCCAAAGGUAAAACACCGAUAACUCGGAUCCCAAAAAUGCAGAAGGGGCUUUGAUCGCCGCUGCUUGUACAGGUAACCUCAUUAUCUGUGUAAUUCUCCCAUAUCGCCUUUCAAACAAAGUCUCAUCGACAUAUUCCAUGAUAGGCAGCAACUUUCCUAAGUCGUUUACCAUGUGAUUUACCUUGGUAAUGCAUGGUAAACCACUAGUAUCGAUUCUUGGGCAUUUUCCUUCGGCAAUCUGAGCCAACUCAGACUCUUGUCCAUAUUCUUGGAAAGAGAGGUACUUAGUCAUGAUUUCAGCUCAAAAACCUGGGUAGAUGAAUUCAACAGUAUUAAACGUGAUGCAAAAUGAAAGUAAGAUUCACAACCUAAGGACAAGCUCUAAUUAUCAAGUGAGAAUGGGUAGUUUUUCUAUCUGGUCUUGAAGGGUCUCAUAUCUGCCCAGUGACGUUCUUCGUAAAGAAGUAUGGGGGCGUUGCAAGGAACAGUUAAGACACGUAUGCCCACCAUUACCAAGCAGGCACUCAGAUAUGAGUUGGGUGUUUCACGCAUUUAAACCCUGACCAAUAGUCUUAGGGUAAAUCGCUAAUUCCCCACUUAACUUAAAGCUUGUGUGUGCUUUUUAAAAUUAAAGCAAGUGAUGCAUGAGACAAUUGUAUAGAAUGCAUGAAUAAUAUGAAUAAAAUAAAAUAAAUACGCAAAUAAAAGGACAGGCAUAUUAACAAUAAACACCCAAAAAAACACAAACAAAUCAGACAAAAACAAAGCUUAGUCUACAAGGUCCCCAGUGGAGUCGCCAUUCUGUCGCACGUAUGCGGCGUCGCGGCGAAAAACUAAGUUUUCCAUUUUUAAAACCACAAUGUAAUAUAUAUAUGGGGAUACGAGAAAAAUAUUUUUUUUUGGUAAAAAUGGAAUGGGAGUCGCCACCUAGUAUUUUGGUCACUAGGAACCCUAACUGGUCUCAGAGAUCGGGUACGGGGACUGGUUGCGUAAAGGGAAGGUAUUAGCACCCCAAUACGCCUUACCUAAGGUAAGCUGCAUUGUUUAUUGUCUGAUAAAACUAUGGUGUUUUUUUUUUCUAGUCGUUGGUCUGUCUAUGGUUCAAGAAAAAUCCUCCUCAGUAAGAAGGUCUUUUAUCUUAUCGGGUAAAAACUUAACCGUUCUAACGUCUACCAAAAAAAUAAUAUUUAGGAAUACGUUUUACGUAUAAAUUCGUAAUCCCAAAUACUAAAAGAAAACAAAAAGAUUUUUUAGAAUUUUUGAAAUAUUGGCCUAGUUCUCAUGGCUUAAAUAAACUGGUUAUUCAAGCCAAAAUGCAUGCUAAUACAUAUAUUGUUUUGAAAAUUUUCUUUGUUGUGUAAAAAAUGAUGUUAUAAUAUUUAUAUCUAUAUAUAUGGAGAGACUAAGCCGUAUUUUAAAGACAAAAACAAUUUUUGAAAAUAUUAUUAUUAUUAAUUCUUUUUUUUUUGCUUUUUUUGACGUAAAUCGGGUAUUUAAAUACUGAGCUUGUAUCCUUACGGUAUAAAAAUACAACCCAAUAUUAUUCCACCUUAAUAAAAAAUGCAGAAAAAUCAAACAACAUUUUUAGGUAUUUUUAGAAAUUUUUUUGAAAGCAAAAACAUUUUUUAUUCGAAAAAUCUUUGAUAUUUUUACGAAAACCGGGUAUUUUUAACACUGGUUUGAUAUCUUUACAGUAUAAAAAUACCAACCAACAUUAACCCAUUUUGACAAAAAUAUUCAGGGAAAUCAACAAUAUUUUUUAAGAUUUUUCGAAAUAUUUUUUUUUUAGUAAAAAAUAUACACAAUAUACACACAUAUAUAUUACAAUAUACUAUAAUUAAUAAUAUAUUUAUAAUAAAAAUUCGGGUUGGGCGGACCAAAUGAAUGGGCCGAACCCAACCCAGCCGGAAUCGGGCCCAACAUCAGCCCGAAACAGGAGUGGGCCGAUCGCAGCCCAGCAAAAGGCUGGGCCGAUCUCGGCCCGCAAGGAGGUUGGGCCGAUCUCGGCCCAACGAAAGGCUGGGCCGAUCUCGGCCCGCAAGGAGGUUGGCCGAUCGGCCCAACGAAAGGCUGGGCCGAUCUCGGCCCGCAAGGAGGUUGGGCCGAUCUCGGCCAACGAAAGGCUGGGCCGAUCUCGGCCCGCAAGGAGGUUGGGCCGACUCGGCCAACGAAAGGCUGGGCCGAUCUCGGCCCGCAAGGAGGUGGGCCGAUCUCGGCCCAACGAAAGGCGGGGCCGAUCUCGGCCCGCAAGGAGGUUGGGCCGAUCUCGGCCCAACGAAAGUGGGCCGAUCUCGGCCCGCAAGGAAGUGGGCCGAUCUCGGCCCACACAAGGCUGGGCCGAUCUCGGCCCGCAAGGAAGUUGGGCCGAUCUCGGCCCAACACAAAAAACAUCUUUAGCCUGGGCCAGACUCGGUCUGGCCCAAAAUGAAUAACAACAAAACUGGGCCGGAAACCCGGCCCAGUGUUAAAAAAAACUCAGCGGGGAAGGGAAAACAAUUCCCUUCCCCUACCUCCUGCAUGCAGAACGAUUCUGCAUGCAGGAGGACAAACAGAAAAAAAAAGUGCAGGGGGUGGAGGAAAUACCUGGCACGGCGGAGGAAAUACCCGUGUUGAUGGUGCUGCAGCAAAGUUGGUGGCUCCCAAGCGACGGUGCUUAACAGUCGGGUGUCCUCUCGGGUCGUGUCGGUUAACGUUUUCUCUAACUCUCCCCACGGCUUCAGUCUUCUUCCCCUCCUCCCCGUGCUGUUUCUUCGAGUUUUAGGUGUUUAGUUCUACUGUUUAAGUCGUCUCUCUCUCCUCCAGUUUCUCUCUCUCUCUUGGUCUCGGUCUCCCCUUUUUUCUCCUCUUUUUCCCCCGUGCUUCACAUCUUUCCUCUUCUUUUAUAGGCGGGCAAAGGAGCGGGGCUGCAUGGGCAGCGUGGGGAGCAGAACAAGGUGGGUCGAGCUGGGCAACGUGGGGGGCAGCGCCGGUCGGCUGGUCGGUGAGCGUGGUCGAUCACGGCGUGGCCCUCCUGGCUUCGCGUCGUCCGAGGUGCAUGGGCCUGGUCUGUCAGUGCACGUGAGGAGAGAGGGGCACCGGUUGAUUAAACAACGGUUUCGUCCAUGCUGCUGCACGUUCGGGGAGGAAGAAGAAAGGGAACAGUGCCGUUCAAAACGGCACCGUUUGGUCCCUUUUUUUUUUUUUUUUUUUUUUUUUUUUAAAAUAUAUGAAACGGCGUCGUUUUGGGGAAAACGCGCCGUUUCAUUUAAAAAAAGGCGCCAGAAUACGCAAAAUUUCAACUCAGCCCUCAAUUAUCUUUUGAUUCCUUCAAUUGCGUCCCUGCCAAUUUCGGUCCUCGCCCCCAUAGUUGGCCGCGUUUUUCAUCUUGGUCCUUGGCCUCUGAUUUAUGCAAUUAAGCCCUCAAUUGACCAAUAAACUCCAAUCUUCAAUUACGCCCCUGAUCAAUCAAGACAGCCCUCUAUUUACCGCGCGUGUUCCAAAUUGGUCCCUGGUUUCGGAUUUUCACAAUUAAGCCCCUAAUUGGCCAUUAAACUUCAAUAUUUAUGCAAUUAAGCCCCUGAUUUGGCCUAAUAAAUUCCAAAAAAAUAUAUUUUGGCCCCAGAACUUAAAUUUCUCCCAAUUAAAACCCAAAUUGACCUAAAAAUAAAUUUUUCUUGCACUCCAAUCCUCUAUAAAUUCAAAUAAAAUCCAAUUAAGUCCCUAAACAUCCAAAUUUGGGCUUUUCUCCUCAAAAAUUCAAAUUUUCCUUCUCAACAGGGCUCUCAUCCUUCAAGAAAAUAUUGCCAAAAAUCCAAUCUCUGUAUUUUUAACCUCCGUGACCAAUCUUUCGACCAUUUUCUGAGCGCUUAUGCCUCCUGUUAUUUUUUCUAACCUUCUUCGGCUAUUUAUUUAUUAUUAUUUUUUUGUGGGGAUCCAAAAAUGGGUUACAACAAUAAUAUACAAAACGGACAUCUAGUUCUUGUUCGUAAAUUCAAAAUCAAAUGGUGGGAUUCUUUCAAAAGUUCCAAAUUAGCUGUUACAGAAUGGUUACAAAAACAUCAAAGAACUCCCAUCAUUGAUCAUCAUCCUCAAUCAAAGUUUCUAGCUAGAAAGGCUCAAACGGCAGCUCUCCUUACCUUUGCUAGAACUGAAGAAGAAUACCUACAAAUAGUUCAAAGCAUUAUACAAAGCCAAGACCAGAAAACGGUCUUGUCCCAAUCCAGCUCAUCUAGAUCGAUAUCUCCUGUCAUUUCCCUUGGAGAUGAUAAUGAAGAUGAUUGUUUUGGUAUCCUACCACCUAUCAAGCAACAUUAAAAAAAAAAGAGUAUUUUUCAAGCUUUCUCAGGCUCAUCUGUUUAGAGCCAUAUCUUUUCGACUCACCUGUUUUAAGUUCUUUUUUAUUUUAAGCCCAUUUGUUUUAGGCUUUCUUUUACAAAUAUUACCUACUACUACAAACAAACAAUCCAGUGUCGGUGGCAAGAAGACAACAGAUGAAAGUCCCAUAAAAAACAUGGGCAUUUUCCAUUUUGUCGUCACCCAAUCAUGGCAGGCAAUACCACAUGGGUUCACAGCAAUACCACAUGGGUUCUGAUGGAAUCUUCAAGCUUUCCCAACAAGACAUUUUGGCCUCUUCCAUGUCAACUCGUCUAUAAAAGGGGACUCCUAAAUCUUUAGAAGGCAGAGUAUCAUUUUCCCUGAUAAAAUUUUAUUCUCCCUUGUAACCCAUACCUGUAACCUAUAUCCACUCUCCUAUGUACCCAAUAUCUCUUGUAUUAAUUUACAUUACAAAUUUAAAUACGACUCUAUUUUCAUUAUUUACAUUCUUGUUAUAUUUUAUGUAUGUUAAGUAUGCUCUGUGUUUAAUCAAGGAUCCUGACAUUGUUGGUCUUGCCUUGUUCAUUCACAUCAGAAAUAUGUUUAUAUUAUAUAUUUCUUUGAUCUUUUCAUAAAACAGCAUAUAGGCUGGAAACUUGUGACCUGAUCUUUUAGAUCAUUCUUAGGUAUAACAACGCCACGUACUGAGUAUUUCUUUUCAUAUUUUGGUGUGUGUGUGUGUGAGAGAGAAAGAGAGAGAGAUAAAAUUAAGACCAUUGAGGUUAUUUUUUAGGCUUUGACUCUUUUUCUUUAAAGCUUUGACGUUUAGGGGUGAGCAAAAAAUCAAAUAACCAAUUAAAUUGAGAAAACCAGAAAAAAAAAUCAAACCAAGACAAAAAACUGAAUUAAUCGAUUAGAAAAUGAUAAAAAAAAAAUCGGUUUAGUUUGGUUUCCAAAGUCUGAAACCUAUUGAAUCGAAUCGGUUCAAUUAGGUCAGCACUUGAAAAAAAAAACAGGUAUAAAUAAGAUAUUUUUUUCUAACCCUAAACCUAAAUCGGUAUUCCCAACCGCCCCCUCCCUUUGCUCCGCCUCUCUUUAUCUCUCGUCUCUCUCAAAUUGCCUCCUUCUCCUCCGUGCUCCAUAACUAUUAAAAUAUAUGCUCCUCUAUCCUCUCGAUCAAAGGCACACUUGAAAUUAGAUAGUUUUAGAAAGGAAAGACAUAAGAGGAAUUGAAAUCACUGAACUAAAAAGAAAGGGUAUAUAAGCUGAAUAAAAGGUUAACAUAAAAGUUCUCAAAAAGAGAAAUGUUGAGAGGGAGCUUAACCAGCUAAAACAAAAGGAAAAGUGACUUCUACCACUUAACGAAGAUAAAGAUGGAUGGUUAGGAUCUAUAAACUUUUUGUAAUUGGUUUCCUCUCAUUCAUAUAAUAAUGAUUUGAUAGUUUUACAUUUCAAUAACUUUUGAUCUCUCUUUUUUUUUUUUCGCAACCAAAUUACUUCAUUUCUUUUAUUUUCUUUUCUUUUGUUUCGUGUAUCUUUUUGCGAAGUUUAAUUUUUGGGCAAGGAUCUAACAAAAAAAAAUAUUAAGAUUGAUUUUCUGAAUAUCAUACAUGCCUAAUAGCUUUAAGAAAAAGUCAUACUUGUUGAAAAAACCAAGAUGUCUUGGAAAAAUAUGGCUAAUAAAAAAACUUAGAAAAAAUUCAACCAAAAUAAUUUUGGUUUAAACCGGUUUGGAAUAAAAAAAACCCAAAUUAAACCGAAUUAAAACUAAUCAAUUUAAAAUAAUUUUUAAUUUGAAUAAAAAACUUUUAAAAAAAUUAAUUAUUUAUUUUAAUUCAAAACCGUACACGACUGAAAAUGCUCAGCCCUAUUGACGUUCGUGGUUUUGAGGGUGAGAGAAAUGGAAAGUAAAGGGGAAAGAGAAGAGGGUUGCUAAGAUGGAAACCACUUAUUUGAUCUACAGGGGUUCCAUUCUGAUAUUACCAAAUUUCCACGACAGAUGAAAUCACAUAUAAGCCCCUCAAUUAUUACAAAAUGUCAAAAAAAAAACUCAUAAAACCAUCCCAAACUACUAGAUAUUUAAAGUACAGUGAACAGAGACACAAAGGAGAAAAUAAUAUUGGACUCAUUAAAAACUAAUAAGAAUUCUGCUAAAAAAAUUAUUAUUAUUUCAUGUUUCUAUCUUUUAAUUAUAUUGUGCAUUUUUUUUUAUUUGGUAAUUUUAGAACGCUGUGAUAUUGCAUAAAGGGUUUGUGUUAAUCGUUAUUCUCUUGUGGAGCAAAAAGUAAAGCAAGCAUGGGCAGGAGGACAGCUUCUUGCUCUCUGUUUCUGUUUUUCACUCUUUUCACAACCUUGCAGAGUCCAAUUCUGGCUGCAAAAAAGGCAAGCUAGCAUGCAUUAAUGUUGUCUGAUCGUUUAGUCUUUCAAGUUACAUUUGCAAUCUAUCUUAUGUUAUAAUUCUGCUACUGACAGUGAUACCGGUGUCUGUGUACGUACAGUCUUAUGUGGUUUACCUUGGGAGACAAUCUUAUGCUUCUGAACCUUCCACCACUGACCUGGAUAGGGUAGCCGAUGCCCAUCAUGAACUUUUGGGUUCUUGUAUGAAGAGGUGAUGCAGUGCUGAGAAUUUCAGAUCUGUGAUCCAUGGUGUAUUUGGUUGUUCUAAUACUGAUGAUCAAGUUUGAAUUCGUUAUGACAGCAAGGAGAAGGCGAAACAAGCCAUCUUUUACUCCUACACUCGUUAUAUUAACGGUUUUGCAGCAGUACUGGAAGAUGAAGAAGCAGCUGAAAUUUCAAGUAUAUAUAAUACUAUUAUAAUUGUUCAGCAUGUAAAUCGUGAAAUCCUUGAUAAUAUUACAAAUAUGGUCUUGUUAAUACGUUUUCAGAGCAUCCAGAAGUUGUAUCAGUUUCUCGAAACCAAAUAAGGCAAUUACACACAACAAAUUCUUGGGGCUUUCUUGGACUGGAAAGAAAUGGAGAAAUUCCAGCUGAUUCUAUGUGGCUAAAGGCAAGAUUUGGUGAAGACGUAAUUAUCGGGACCCUUGAUAGUGGUAAUUAUAAUUUUACAUGUCUGUGUACAUGCAUAGAACUGGUCAAGUCUCCUUCAUAUCAUUUCAUCUUCUUAAUUUAAAUGCAUUCAAUUAUUUUGGACCAGGUACAGCUACCUUGCAUCUGAAAGAAAAAUCUCCAAUGAUGGUUAAUUUUCAAUCUAUUAUUCUUGACUGUGCAUGAUGCUAGGUGUUUGGCCAGAAUCCAAAAGCUUCAAUGAUGAAGGGAUGGGGCCUGUUCCAUCUAAAUGGAAGGGAUACUGUGAUCCAAAUGAUGGGAUUAAAUGCAACAGGUACUUUAAUUUCUUUCUCAAGGCCAGAGCUCUUUUCUUGACCUGAACUACUCAUUUUGCCUCUGAUAAUGAACCGCAGACAAAUUCUUCCGUUUCCUAUAGUAAGAUUAGUAACAUAAAAGAUAUGUUGUUAUUAGCAGGAAACUUGUAGGAGCAAGGUACUUUAGCAAAGGCUACGAAGCAGAAACACAUGAUUCUUCAUACCACACCCCGCGAGAUUAUGAUGGCCAUGGAACCCACACUCUAUCCACUGCUGGAGGUCGUUUUGUUUCGGGGGCAAACUUGCUUGGUUCAGCUAAUGGAACAGCGAAGGGUGGUUCGCCCAACUCGCGAGUCGCUUCAUACAAGGUCUGCUGGCCCCUCUGUAGCGAUGCUGAUGUGUUGGCUGGCUUUGAAGCUGCUAUUCAUGAUGGGGUCGAUAUCCUCUCAGUGUCACUUGGAUCCGGUCCGGGAGAAUACAUUACUGAUGGGAUUGCAAUUGGAGCAUUUCUUGCUAUGGAGCGCGGGAUUCUUGUGGUUGCCUCGGCUGGAAAUGAAGGACCUGACCCUGGAGUCGUUGGGAAUGUAGCUCCCUGGAUUCUUACAGUUGCUUGUAGCACUAUCAGUAGGGAGUUCACAUCUAAUGUCAUCCUUGGAAAUAACAAACACUACAAGGUUUGUUCUGUAAGCUCAUAUCUUUAGCAAGUCCUUUUAAAUUGUUCUACCUAUCAUGGGAUCCAAGAAUUUGCUAUAUUAAUUUCUAGAUAAUCAGGGUAUGAGUUUUAAUACCAACACUCAACCAGCUGGGAAGUUUUACCCCUUGAUCAAUUCGGUGGAUGCUAAAGCUGCCAAUGUUUCCAGUAAUCAAGCGUAAGCAGCAAACUAAUUUUGUUCUCAGCCAAAAUUACAUUUUCUGUAGUUGUCAGGUUCAUAUUUCUUAUCUUGUUGUCUUUGGCAGAAAAUAUUGCUCCAUCGGAUCCCUUGACCCCUUGAAAGUUAAAGGAAAAAUUGUAUAUUGUACUCGCAACGAAGAUCCUGAUGUAGAAAAGAGUCUGGUUGUUUCUCAAGCUGGUGGUGUUGGGGUGAUACUUGCUAACCGAUUGAUAAUUCAACAAAUCCGACCUUGGUGUUGGGGUGAUACUUGCUAACCGAUUGAUAAUUCAACAAAUCCGACCUCGGGCACACUUUGUUCCUACUUCCGUUGUCUCUGCAGACGAUGGACUUUCCAUUUUAACUUAUGUUUAUAGUACAAAGUAAGGUCUAUGUAAUAGAUAAUUCAGACAAUUAAACUCGGUUGAUUUCAGUCGAUAAUGCGCUGAACAAUCUAUCGUUUGCGAUCCUGUGAAUCUCUUGGAACUUCUCCUUUCACUCAGGUCACCUGUAGCUUACAUAAGUGGCGCCACGGAGGUGGGAACAGUGGCUGCACCUGUCAUGGCUGAUUUUUCAUCUCCUGGGCCUAACUUCAUCACCCCAGAGAUCCUUAAGGUACGUACUCUUAACAGUUUCAAAUGAGCGUUUUAAAAUACAUGCUCAAUAUUAUUUUUAUAGUGAGAGUGCAUCUGCUGAUUUCAGCCCGACAUCACCGCACCUGGAGUCAAUAUUCUAGCUGCCUUCACCGGAGCAUCAGGGCCAACUGAUGUGCCAGGAGACCGGCGCCGAGUACAUUUCAACUUUUUAUCUGGAACCUCAAUGGCAUGCCCCCAUGUUUCCGGAAUCGCUGGUCUUCUCAAGACUAUGCACCCUGAUUGGAGUCCUGCUGCAAUUAAAUCUGCAAUCAUGACAACGGGUUAGUGCUUUUCUGCUCUUCGCAUUAGCAUCUUCAAGUUAUUGGUGGACGAGUCAUUGAUACCUUGAGUGCUUGCUUACGACAUUUCAGCGACAACGAUCAGUAAUGUGAAGCAGCCUAUCGCGAAUGCUUUUCUUCUUGAGGCAAACCCAUUGAAUUAUGGUGCCGGGCACAUCUGGCCUAGCCGUGCAAUGGACCCAGGCUUGGUCUAUGACCUAACGACUAAAGAUUACGUGAAUUUUCUAUGCUCCAUUGGCUAUAACUCAACCCAGUUGUCACUUUUUAUUGGGAAGCCAUACAUAUGCCCGUCGCAGAACAAUGGCCUGCUGGAUUUCAACUAUCCAUCCAUUACUGUCCCGAAUCUCUCAAGCAAUAAGACCACGUUGUCCCGAACCUUGAAGAACGUGGGGACUCCAAGCUUGUAUAGAGUUAAUAUCAGGGCACCUGGAGGCAUAUCUGUGAAGGUUGAGCCAAGAAGCUUGAAGUUCGAUAAGAUAAACGAAAAAAAAAUGUUCAAGGUCACUCUAGAGGCUAAGAAAGGGGUUAAGAGUGAUGACUAUGUGUUUGGAGAGAUAACCUGGUCUGAUGGGAAACACCAUGUGAGGAGUCCUGUUGUGGUGAAGAACAUGGAAGUAGCAGCCUAAGAUUGAAGGACAAUGACCAGGCGUCUGGAUUUGUAGGUGGAAGGCCAGCGUGUAGAGAUCUAUGUAUCUCCAUGGUCAACAAAUCGAUCUUCAAAUUCCCGUUCCAUGCCAUGACAAA
rnacentral:lncRNA from 1 species